ACCGGCCAAAUCUCCAGUUAAGCCCCCGGUUAAGGCACCAGUGUCUCCACCUACCAAAGCUCCAGUUAAGCCCCCAGUUUACCCUCCCACCAAAGCUCCUGUCAAGCCCCCAACCAAAGCCCCAGUUUACCCUCCUACCAAAGCUCCAGUUAAGCCUCCAACCAAAGCCCCAGUUAAGCCCCCAGUUUCCCCACCGACCAAACCUCCGGUCAAGCCCCCGGUUUACCCUCCCACCAAAGCUCCGGUUAAACCCCCAACUAAACCCCCGGUCAAGCCACCAGUUUCCCCACCAGCCAAACCUCCGGUCAAGCCCCCGGUUUACCCUCCCACCAAAGCUCCAGUCAAGCCCCCAACUAAGCCCCCGGUUAAACCACCGGUUUCUCCUCCGGCCAAGCCACCAGUUAUGCCGCCGGUUUACCCACCUAAGUUCAACCGUAGCCUAGUCGCCGUUCGUGGUACAGUCUUCUGCAAAAGCUGCAAAUACGCUGCCUACGACUCACUCACAGGCGCUAAACCUGCCGAAGGUUUGAACUAAUUUUCUUGAACUAAUUUUCUUUAUGUUAUUAGUAGAAUAUCAUUAACUUCUGUUAUUUAUUUUAUACAUUCAUAAAUACAUCAGCAAUAAUCUUGUGAAAUAACCUAAUUUGCCCGCUCUGCAUACGCAUUUAUUCAAUACUGUAUAUGUCUAUAAAAUAAUAAUACGUGUCACAUACCAACGCACACUUCGAUACUAAUAAUUCAAAAUUUCAAAAACGUUACAAGUGGUAGGGACCUUUUGGUACGUAACUAGUCAAUGUUUUGAAAAGAGGUAAAAAAAAAAUAAAAAAAAAUAAAGAGAGUGACUUUAUAUAUGUACACUUCUGCACUCAUCAGUCACUGUUUUUUACAGUCUGGCUUAUAAAUUUCACUACUUCCGAAAAGAAGUAAUUUAAAGCAUACAAUAAUAACUAUUCUCAUUAAUUUAUUUUAUUACAUUGGUUCGUGCAGGUGCAACUGUGAGACUAGUGUGCAAGAGCAAGAAGAACAUAAUCUCGGAGGCGACGACAGACAAGAACGGAUACUUCUUUUUGUUGGCUCCGAAGACAGUGACCAACUACGGUUUCAGAGGAUGCCGUGUGUAUUUGGUGAAAUCAAAGGACUACAAGUGCAACAAAGUGUCCAAGCUCUUCGGUGGUGAUGUCGGCGCUGUACUCAAGCCUGAGAGAAGCCCUGGAAAAUCCACGGUGGUGAUCAACAAGAUGCCUUACGGUAUCUUUAACGUCGGUCCAUUUGCAUUCAACCCGGCUUGCCCCAAAUGAAGAUGAAUCCGUCCCUCUGGUUACUUUCUUGAUUACGUCGAGUUUAUCAUAUGAUUAUCUCGUGUUCAAAAAAGAGUGUAAGAGAGAGAGAGAGAGAGUUUAUGUGCGUUGGAAUUUUAAUGUUAGCUAGUUUUUUUUUCUUCUUUUAAGUUAAAAAAAAUGCUUGGGUUUAAAUUAUGAUGUAUGAAUCUCUCUCUUUAAGCGACGUUGUUUAAGUUUCAUUUGAAUAAAAUAGUAUUACUAGCUUUUUCGAGAUGAUUUAUUUUGGAUUUUUCAAAAUGAGAAUAUAAUGAAAUGACUCCGUUAGUAUAAACAUAACACACAUUGAAUGAACAAUUUAAGUGAAAGUGUCAAGGCGCGAGGCAAAUUAUAAUUAUAAUUUGCAGAUUGCAAUGCAUAAUUAAUGAAUAACUUGAGUAAAUUUUCUUUUCCCAACUUGUUAUUCUUUUUUAUUUAUAUAUAGGAAUGUUAUUUUACGGUAUAGACAAAAGAGAAAAAUGAUUACUAGGAACGGUGAAAGGUUCGAUGGGAAGGGGAAGGGGAAGGGUGGGGGAAUCAUCGAAUAGGGUUUCUAGUCGGUUCUUGGAUUCGGAGAAAAAUCAGCUGCGUAAUUGUCGGCCACGGGGCUGACAUCAUUUCCCCAUCACAUCUCCAAAGUUUUUGUUUUUCGUUCAAAAAGGACAAGAAAUAAUUCAAGGCAUCACUAUUUAAAACGACCAAGUUUUGAAUUAAGAAAAAAAGUGGAUUAACAAGAAAGGUUUAUGGGUUGUGGUGAAACGAUUAAGUGAUGUGGAUUAACAAGAAAGGUUUAUGGGUUAUGGGUUGUUUUUUUUUACCUUUUGCUUUUCUUGUUUCAUGUAUUUAUGUGGUGUCAUGCAUUAGUGUUCGACUUUUUUUAGUUCAUAACUUGAGCUUCUCUCAUGCAUUAAGUGUUCGACAUUUCAGUUCAACAGUGUUGCUUGAAAUUAAUUCAUUGUCUUAUAAACUCACUCUGUUUACUAUCAUGAUUGAACUUGUUCUUUUCUUGUUAGGAGAAUUCAGAUGUAGUUAGUAAAUUAAAGACUCGAAAAAAAAGAGAGAAGAAGAAACGCAUUAAGGUAAGUUUAGUUGUUGAUAUCAAUUGGAUGAUCAAGAAAAUGCAGUGUUAAUCUCUCUAACUUCACUCUUUUUUCUUUUAUUCUUUGGACGGACGAGAGAUCAAUAAUGUCCGUACACAAAGAGAAUUAUAAGGUUUCAUCAUUUCUACUCUCGAGAUGGAUAAACUACACAAGACAUGGCCCAAAUAAAUGUACACUAACAGGGCCUGAACUCACACACCCAACCCGUUUGGUAAACAAGUAACAAAUAUAAGAGCCCAACUCAUAAAAGCCCAACGUAUCUCCGCAAAUAACGAGCAUGAAGAAAUAGUUCUAGACUAGUAGCUUACUUAGUCAAACGACUAAAAAACCCUUCAAGCUCAAUGAUUAGAUUACUUCCAAGAAAAGCAUAUCUUGAUAGAUUGAAUAUAUAAUAACACGACACGUAGAUAAAUCAACUUACCAUAACAUCAAUUCUUAGCAUAUUUAUUGGUAUAUUUGACCCAAAAAAAGAGGUCACAUAAAUAAUAAAUUGUCCUCCUAGUCAUCUAAACCAUCAUUGGUUGAGAUGAGUUCCAACAACGAGUUCAAUUCCCCCCCAAAGGAAAUUAAAUCUUCUUUGUAGAAAUUAUAUAUGCGUUGUAGUUAAUUAAAGAGACUUUUUAGUCUCUACCUCUUAUCAUUUAUUGCCAAAGACUUACAAAAACCAAAUAAGUCUACACAACAACAACAAUAGUGUAGAAAGAAAAAGAAAAACUCACACUUCCUCCAUCUUGGGACGACGGCGCGUGCACACCAUUCUCCAAGUCAACGCGUGAGCGAAGACUUAAAAAGAAAUUAAGAAAGAGACUAAAGAGCCAAUAGCGCCCACCGAAAACAUUUUCUUACCGAACCAAAAAAACACAAAACACAAUUUUUAUCUUUUCUCUCUUCUCUUCUCUCUCUCGUGCUGUGCUACAACAAAAUGGAGAAUUCGCCGAGAUACAGAGAAGCGACGAAUCUGAUUCCAUCGCCGAGAUGCCACAACAACAACAACAGCUGUAGUAUGAGCAGUAGCAGUGAGAGUAACAAACCACCCACAACCCCAACCCGACACGUUACUACAAGAUCCGAAUCAGGUAACCCGUACCCGACAACAUUCGUUCAAGCAGACACUUCAUCCUUCAAACAAGUCGUUCAGAUGCUCACCGGAUCCUCCGACAGACCCAAACACGCUUCUUCCCUUAAACCGAACCCGACCACCACCACCCAUCCACCCGACCCAAGAUCCACUCCUUCCUCUUUCUCAAUCCCUCCGAUCAAAGCCGUUCCGAACAAGAAACAGUCUUCUGGGUUCCGUCUCUACGAGCGUCGCAAUUCUAUGAAGAAUCUCAAAAUCAAUCCUUUGAACCCGGUUUUUAACCCGGUUAACUCUGCUUUCUCCCCUCGUAAACACGAGAUCCUCUCUCCCAGCAUCCUCGAUUUCCCUUCUCUCGUUCUCAGCCCUGUCACGCCUCUUAUACCCGACCCGUUCGAUCGAUCCGGCUCAUCCAACCAGAGCCCCGACGAGCUUGCCGCCGAGGAGAAAGCCAUGAAAGAGAAAGGCUUUUAUCUUCAUCCAUCCCCGGCGACUACUCCGAUGGAUCCAGAGCCACGACUUCUUCCUCUUUUUCCGGUUACUUCACCUCGAGUCUCAGGUUCUUCAUCAGCUUCUACUUCUUGAAAACCCUAAUUUUUAUUUUUUUACUCAAUUUUUUUUUCCUUUUGUGAUCUUAAUUACAUAUGAUAUAAUUGGGAAUUGAGGUGAAUCCUGAUGAGAAUUAUUAUACGAGAAAAAAAAAGUUGUAAUGUUGAGAUGUUUGCUAAAUUUUUAAAAAUCAUCCGCCUUCAAUUGUAUUAUUAUUAUUGUUAAAUCUCUCUUUCCUAUAUGGUGAUUUUAAUAUGAUGCUCUCUACUUCACUUAUUUCAAUGAAUUGAAUGCUAAAAAAUCAGAUUAGUAAUUUUCACUCUUAUUAAGUCAGUUUAUGUAAUUGUGCAAUUUUGACUUGAAUGAUAUAUUCUAUAGUAAUUGGAGGGGUUAAAAACACACACAAUUAGUUGUAUCCUACAUUGUUUUUUUGUAUUCAAAGUAGACAAAUUGAUGAAGAGAUUAGUCUUACUUUAGAGAGAAACCAAAUUGGUCCAAUCCAAACCUUCUUUUGCUAAGUAUCGAUGAAAGGGAAAAAAAGGAGUGUAAGAAGAAAAGAGAUUUUUAUGUUAUUUCAUUUUCAUAAAUAAAACCAUAAUUGUUUUGUAUAGUCUUCUUUUCUCCUUUUUAUAUACAAAUUAGAAAGAAAAAAGAGUAAAUUGGAUAGAAAGAAGGGAAAAGAGUGGGGCUUAGCUGUCUAAAGAGAAGAGUAUUAAUUUAGGGGUAAGGAAUCUUUUGACUUAUAUUUUUUUUUCUUUCUUAUCCUGUUUGAACCCAAUUCAUAUUCAUGAUUUUGAUUGAGAUAGGGGUUUUGUGAGAUUUUGACCCCUUUUUUACCUAUAUUUUUUGGCCUAAUGAAUGAAUAGCAACAGCAAAAAUUGUGGUUUGGAUACAUUUAAGAGUAGAACAAUCCUUUUAGUUGUUGUGGUCAUUUGUUUGGGGUCUAAUAAUAAUAAUAAUAUCUUGAGUCAAAUGUGAAAUGUUUUUAGUUGAAAGGUGAACUUUUUACUAGUGGCAUAUGGCUAGAUUGAUUUGAGGUAAUGGGCAUAUGCAAAAUGACCCCAUCUCGAUCUUUUUGUUGUCUUUUUAAUAUCAUGUAGUAUAUCUUUCUUUGGUCAAAGUUUUUAAAGAAAAAAAAUAUUAGGUGUUUGAAUUGGUUGUACAAAAGGGACGUGGUCUAAGGAUACGAUUAAUGGCUUAAUUAUUUAGUAUUUUGUCAUUAAAUGGGGUUUGAUGACUAAAUAUAUAUAUAUAUAUAUAUAUAUGAAAAAGUUUAAAAUUAAACUUGACUCAAUCUUCUCAUGGUGGACCGGAUCCAUUAUUAUCUAUCUAUCUCUCUAUACAAAAAAGAAAGAAAAUUCUCAUGUGAAGAGAGUUGAAGUUAUGUGCCCCACUCCCACUAUUAGUGGUGCCACUGAUAGCAAUUGGGGUUGACUCAUUUUUUUCAAUUUUCUUCUCUUACAAAAAUAGUUAUAACAAUAAAGAUCUUUUUUUUUUGUGUGAAAAUAAUUUGGUUAGAUGUAUUCUUCUGCUAUUGGUAAAUCUUACCCACUAGAAUCUAAUCCGGAUUUUGUAGUGAUGUUUGUACCUAAAUUCCUUAAAUUACAGAGUAUAAGAUAUAGAUGGAUUCUCUUUUACAACAAAGAAUAUAUUCCACACACCAAAAAAAAAGAGUGAAAAACACUAAAAUAAAAAGUUUUUUUUGUAAAAUCUAGUUCACUAGUAUUAUAAAGAAAAGAAAAGUUAAAUAAUAGAAAAAGUCAAAAAAAGAAAAAAGUAAUGGGAGAUGUGGUGUGAAUAGCAAUAAUGUUUCAAAGUUAGGUUCUCAUCUCACUUCAAAGUCUUCUUUGGCUUCUAUUUUUUUUUUUUUUUUUUUAAUGAGUAUUGGAAAAAGACCAUACAGUGCUGAAUGAAGUAGUAGUGCAGGUGGGUCUUGUGACCAUGAAACUACCAAACAUUUCCUCAGACAAACAAACAGACAAAACAAUUUUAACUGUUAGCUAAGUGAGUCAGUCAGAGAGAGCACAGGCACAGCAUGGGCCUAACCAAAGAAUGAACAUUAUACGUUUUCUUAGGGCUCUUUUAUUGCCCCCUCUCUCCCUUGAGAACUUGAAUGAAGCUGUUUUUGAGUACGACCGGUUCUCACUCUCAUCUUAAAUUGAGAACCACAAAACACUUUUCUCCUAAACAUGAAAGGUGCAGUUUGAUUUGGUCUCGGACUUGGGCUUUUUCAGUUCAAACUCAUUUUUACUUUGAGACCCAAAAGGCCGAAACGUUUCUUCUAACCAUUACAUUGUUCAUUAUUUUGUCUGCACAUCAUUUCCUUUGAUCUUCUUGAUCUUGAUAAUUUAAGCAAGAAAGCUCAAAUAAUUUCUCAUUAUCCUUUUUGUUGAUAAAUAAGAAACACUUUCAAUGUCUUAAUAUUUGUCCGAUCGGGUUAGAUCCCAUGAUCAGUAACAGUCUCAACUUUAAGUAACCAAAGCUUGACGUGCCUCGUUCGUUUCGAGAUAAAACAAAAUACAAUAUAGAAAAGAACAAAAAAAACUAGGUCCAAUUUGGCCCCUUGGUCGUUAAAACAAAUGUAUAAAUUGUAAAAAUACUAAAAACAUCAUGAUGUAUAUAAUAGAGGAAACGGAACUUAAUUAUAUGAACGAAACGAAAUUAAAGAACAACAACAAAGGAAACGAAAAGAAGCGAUAUACCAAUGGAAUCAAAAGCUUAUAUGCAUCAUGAUGACGAUGAUUUUAAAAUAAUUAAAGGAAACAAAAAAAAAAGAAAAGAAAAGAUCAUACGUAUAACAUAGGAUACGUUAAUAAAGAAUGAAAACAAAAAAAAAUAAGAGAAAAAGGUGGUGGAAAUUAAAUAUGUAACGAUCAAGAAUGAAGAAGAUCGAACGUGUACGUACGUAAGAUGAAUCAAAGCUUCGUCCUCUCUCUCUAUUCAUUUUAGCGAGCGUACCUAUAGCAAUGCGUGAUGGCACUGCAUCCACGCCUGUAAGGAUUGUUCCUUUUUCUCUUCUUGCAAUCGUAGUAAGAUCGGCCACGUCUAUUGCAUGGCACAUUGUUCUUUUUGAGAGCAUCGUAACCAAUGUAACGACGUCCUCUUGCGAGCUGACGUCGGUUUGUCUCUGAGUCCAUCAGAGACUCGAGCUCAUCGUCCUCUCCGAUGCAGCCUUGCCCGUUGACGCAUGCUUUUGUCAAUGGAUAGGUCGCAUUGACGGAUUUAGCUACCAUAGCUAAGAUCAAGAGCCCGAAGAUCAAUAACAUUUUGACACCCAUUUUUUUUUUCGUUGUUUUUUUUUUAAAGAAUUAAUAGUGAGUUAUAAAUUAUUACUCUUUUGUUUUAGUUUUGGUUUCUUCCACGCCCUUCCUUGUGACAAGGAGAGGGAGAAAUAGAAGUAUGUGAGAUUGUGUAGAAGAACAAAUGAGAGAUUGGUUUUGUUGCGGAAAUAAAACAAGGUUAAGACAGAUUUGAGAUUUUUGCUUGUUAUUAUUUUGUGGUUGUUAAUUCUGUUACUUUGAAAAUGAGGGUUUUAACCUUUUUUCUAGGACUGUUUUUUCCAUUUUUACCGUUUGGUAGUUAUAUCUAAAUUUGAUAUAAGUUAUUUAUGGCUCUGCUUUUUAUUCGGCUAACUUUUUUUUUUCUUUUUCUAAAUCUUAUUUUGUGAAAAUAUAUAUAAGUAAAUGCUCAACGUUGGCAUGUAAAAAUGUCUAUUAUCAGCAUUGUAACCAAUUUCAAGAGAAGUUUAAGAACGAAUAGUGCUUUUUUUUGGAUUUUGGUUAUAAGAGAUCAUAGGAUCAUAAUAUUUUAGAUACUAUUUUUCCGUAAAUUCAUAAACCCUGCGUUAGUUUUUCAGCAUCUUUUAGAAAUAUAUAAAUUUCGUCAAUUCUUUUAUCAUAAAUUCUUUUUCCAAAAAAAUAUAUAUUUAUGGAUCUCAUUAGAACUUUUUUUUAAACAUCAAAACACAAUACUUUGUUAAGCCGGUUGAAAUAGAUUAGUCUCGUGAGCUAUUUACAUUAGAAUCUGAGAGUUUAUAUAGGAAAAUGGGGUAACCUCGUGCUCAAGCCGCUUUUGCAAGCCGGUAGGCACAUAUAUACUUCCUUGGACUAUUUGAUUAUAGAGAAAAUUACAAGAAAAAAAUAUACUAUGCAUUGACACAAUACAAUAAUUCAGAUUCCUUGGAUCCCUACCACAUUUUCAGUCUCAUGAUAUACACAAUUCCAUUAUGAAUGCGAUAUUGCGAUGUGGUAGUACUCCGAUGUGGUAGUACUCCAUAAAGUGCCAGGAAGAGCAAAGACGAGAGCUAGAAGCUAGUUAGUAAAAUAGUGUAAGAUGUCGUGUCGGUCAAUUAUGUUUCUUAAAAAUAUAUAUUUUCAUAAUGAUAACAAUGACAAGAAAAAAUCAAGAGAUGCAAUGCCAUAGUAAUGGGUCACUUAAUCACGUACCGAACAACUACUACAACGUUAGUUGCCCGCAUUUCAUUGGUCAAUAUGUAUAUUGUUGUCAUUACUCAUUAAGAAGUUAAUUGAAAAAAAAACCACACAAUUAUUCUAAUACUUAAGUAGAAAAAGUCAAUACCAAAAACACUAUUUAUAGUCUCCUACAUAAUCAUCGUCGCAAUCUAUUUACUAACCACAGUACGUAGACACGAAGAUCAACACAGACAAACUCAGUUUAUAAUCAUUUUCUAAUUUGAUAAAAUGAAGAAGAAUAUUUCAAAUGUCUCUUUGAUAGUUUCGAAGGUUUUACUUUCGUAGUUCACACAGAUACAUCAUCCACGUAAUUCAUCUUUUUUAUAGUAAUAAUAUAACGUAUGUGUAGUGUAGUGUAGCUAUCAUCAAAAUAUCGAUAUCAAUCGUCAAAAGAUCUUUAAAAAUGAUAAAAAUGAAGAAAAUUAAAAGUUGUGCUGGUAAGUUUCCAAUUCAAUUACGUGCUUUGUUUGCCUUUGUUUUUAAUACGAAUGGGUCCAUCACAUAUAAACCAAAAAUACUAGUCAUCUUGUGAGGUGAUGUCCUCGAGUGAUCAAACAUAUAUACUAUAUUGUAGGCUUUGUGGGAUGUCGAUUUCUUAAUCAAUCAAGUUUUAUUUCGAAAUUAUUAUCAAUAAGGUAAAGAUUUUGUGAGCAUUUUAAAAUUUUAAUGUUUUUUUUUUUUCAUUUUCUUUCGUAUCUAAUAUUGUGUAGAAUUAACAUAUUUGAGUGUAUAUAUAGUAAUAUAUAUAUACACACACACACGUUAAGAAAAACAAAACAAUUUUUAGACCAUCAUUAACAAGGGGUUCUUAAAUAAAUCUUAAGGUAAAAAAAGUUAAGAAAAGCUAAGAAAAGUUAGUUUAUGUAUCUUGUAUAAGAGAUGUUUAGUCACUUUUCUUAGUUUUUUUGUACUUUUCUUAACUUAAGAUUUUGUUAAAAGCCCCUUGAUAAUCAUGCUCUUAGUUGUGGAAAAUUUACCAGAUAAAUCAUGGAUUUCAUGCACCAUCUAUUUAUAAUUAAUUUGUGUGGGACAAAGUAUAUUUGUUUGAACCAAAGUCUCACUCUCACUAUUUAUUUGUCCAACAAUAAUAUUUGUCAAUUUAUGAACUAGAAUAAGACAACUUAUCAAUUUUAUUAUUAACAAAUUUGAAUAAAAAGUUCUACGUCUUCGAACAAACAGUUUUUAAAGAUUAUAACUGUUGAUAAGACCAACUUAAUUAUCUUCCUACAAAUGUUGAAAGCUCACUAUUAUGUUAUGAUUAGUUGUGAGAUCUUAUAAAUCUCAGAAUUAUAUAAAUUAAAUGACAUAGGAUUACUAUAUCCCAAAAGCCAUGACAGAAUAGUUAAGGAGGAUAAAGGAAGGUUUGGCUUAAACGUCAAGGAAUAUUUAAAAGUGGCGUGGCUAACUUUUGCUUCCUCUAAUCUCCUUUUUCAAAUUCAGUAGGAUUGUAUAUGCAUUACAUAGACUAAUACUGGAGCAUUAUAUAAUUUUUUUUUUUUUGACAUAGUAGCAAAUUCUUAGAUUCUUUAAAUAUGUUUUACCAAUAUUUUUUAAUUUAAUCAUUUAGAUGAAUCUUUGAAAAAAAUUAGGGAGAAAAAUGAAUUAAAGAAUAUUUUAUUUGGAGGAGAAACAAAUGAUGUAGUUGAGAGCACUUGGAAGAAGAAGUGGGAAAUAAUGGAUUAGAUAUGUAUCCACCUCUGUCUGAAUCUUCAUGAUCAUGAUCAUCAUCAUCAUCAUCAUCAUAAUCAAUUCAUCAACAUCAUCAUCAGCUACCUUUCUACUUUGUCCGUUUCACAAUCUUUUUUGCCAAAUCCUCUCUCUCUCUUCCAUGUGACACACUUCGCUUGGCUUUUUCUUUCCUAUCUCCGUACGUCAAAGUUUCUUCUGGUAAAGUCCUCUUCCUCUUUGUCUUUUUGUUUUCCAUCUAUAGAUUUCACUCUCUUCUACGAUUUUUUUUUUCUUCUCUUCCCUGCUCUCUACUCUGCUUCUUUUGAUUGUGAUAUCUCUUACCUGGUGCUCUUCUCUCUGUAAUUCUUGACUUUAGCUACUGUUUCUUGGGGAUUUCAUCAUCUGGGUUUCUUUAGUUUCUCCAAAAGCUUCUGACUUUGAGCUUACCUAGUUCAGGUUAGAUGAUAGUUUUGAGGAGUCAUGCGUCUCUAGUCCUCAAGCUUCUUCCUUUUUCUACUGUUUAUGAUAAAUUCUUGAUCUUUCUUAGUUUUUCAAUGUUUCUCAGUCCUGCCUGUCUCCAAAUUUUGAACACUCUUGUCUGAGAGAUAUAUCUGUUCGAUUCACCAAAGAGGAUGGAAGCUUCUACUAGAAAAUUACCCAAGAGUAAUGCCGAUUCAGCUGAUCAGAAGCAUAGCCUUAAUUUUCGUGUAGAGGUAUACUUGUUGCUUUUGCUUACAGAAUCUCUUAACUCACUGUUUCUGUAUAUGAACACACAACUGAAUGGUGUUUUUUGCUCAGGUAAACAACAUUGAGAAGCAGCUAUGGACAUUAAUCCAUUCAAAGGGUAUAUUGCAUCCUGAUGUUUCAGAAUUAUACACGAAAGCAGGUUCGACCUACGAGCAAAUCUUUAAAAGCAAUCUCCAACACGAAGAGCUUCAAGAAGUAGAGUUCUGUCUCUGGAAACUCCACUAUAAACACAUAGAUGAGUUUCGUAAAGGCCUUAAAACAGAUGAUCAUCUCAAGCAUAUUAAAGCAUUCAAGUUGUUUCUGUCAAGAGCGGCUGAGUUUUACCAGAAUCUGAUUUCCAAAGUCAGAGGGUAUUACAAUAGAGUCUCCGAGGAAUCUGGAGAACAAAAAAGCAGAUUCUUAUGCCAUCGUUUCUAUAUUUGUCUUGGAGAUCUCCAAAGGUAUAAAGAACAAUAUCUGAAAACACAUGAGCAUCCUAAUUGGUCAACUGCAGCUACAUACUAUCUUGAAGCUGCAACAUCUUGGCCUGAUAGUGGAAAUCCCCAUAACCAGGUAACUAACUCUUUUUCCACCACUCUGUUUUGUUAUAUUUGCCAUUUCUAAGUGAUCUGCUUACAUUUGUGUAGUUAGCUGUAUUGGCGACAUAUGUUGGUGAUGAAUUCUUGGCUCUGUAUCACUGUGUACGAAGCUUAGCUGUGAAAGAACCUUUUCAGGGUGCUUUGAACAAUCUUCUUUUGUUGUUUGAGAAGGUAACUGAUUCACUGACUCUUUUCUAUUUAUCUGCAAUUGAGUUAUCUUUUCCCUGCAUUGCUCAGAAUGCUUUUUUAACUACUGCAGAACAGAUCUUCUCCUUUGAAGUCUCUGUCUACUGAUGCACAGUUUAACUUCUUAAAUCCAUCAGAGAGAAAUGUUUCUGUGAACGAUUUGUCAAAAGAGAAAGGAGAACUAGUAACUGGAAUUGCUUUAUGGCCCCUGGUUGUUCGAACAACUAGCUUUUUUUUCCUUAAAUCCAGGUAAGUUUGGAUCAUGAGUAACAUUGAUUCUCAUCUUUUAGCUCAAGUUCUUGAUGAGCCUUUCUCCAAUAUUGUUCUUCUCUUCAAUUCUUUCUGGUUUGUUUCAGUUUUGAUGAGUUUGGCCGUACAUUUGCUUCAACUAUAAGAGAGCUGGAUGCAGCGUUUGCAGCAGAUGAUAGAAAUCUAGAAGCCAUAUUGGAGUCUUAUCAAUUUAUGGACACAGCGGCGAGAAAGGGACCUUAUAAAAUUCUCCAACUUGUUGUGGUUUUCAUCUUCAUCUUCCACAAUAUCGCCGAGGUUAAUGGUACAGACAGCAUGAUAGGGGAAGACAAACUAAAUUUAGCAUUAACUAUGGUGUUCAUCAUCAUGGGCCGAGUUGUUGGGAGAUGUUUGAAGACGAGCCCCUUGGAUUCUUGCCCUCUCUUACCUGCUCUACUUGUAUUUCUAGACUACUUACCGUUUCUGCUUCACAAGGUAGACGAGGAAGAAUGCAGGUUUGAUGAGAAGAGCGAGAGUGCAAUAUCUUACUUCUUUGGCAAACUCGUUGAUUUCUUGAACCGGUUAAAAGUAAAAGGCAAAAACUGCUCUGCUAAAGUGGUGGUCGCUCUCUGGGAAGAUCAUGAACUCAAGUAUUUGGCUCCUCUGGCUCCCAGACAUGUACUUUUGGAUUUCUCAAGUCAUGUGGAUCUACAAGAGAGUUUUGAUAGAGGGAAGGAGCUCCGUCUCCAACGGAUUAUUAAUUCCGCAAUUGAGAUCACAAGUAGGCAGAAGAAGGCUUCUCAAAAGUGGCUAUUCUUUGACAAGCAAAGGACUCAAUUCUACACAACUUCUGGUGAAUUGCAAUGCAAAGAAGAGCUCUUUCAUGGAAAUAGAGAGGGUAGCAACAGAAAAUGUGUUACCAUAGGACCAGUUGAAAUCAUUCCUUUUGAGAAGGAAAGAUCUAUACCUGCAGAAGAGGAAGAAGUCAUUCUUCUCAAGCCGCUCGUAAGGUGUCAAUCUGCUCCAAUCUAUUCGUCUGGCAUUGAAACAAAGCCACUCAGCUCCGAUAGCACAACUUCAGGAAAUCAAACAACUACAUCUGAUGAAAACCUAAGACGUACCUUAUCACUGGUUGUGAACCAUAGCUCACAGGAUACUGGCUCUGAAAGCUUCAGCUUUACGCAAGGCCUUAAGGACACAGAUCCACAACAUUUGCAUCUAGAAGAAGGUACCAUCUCAGGAAGACCUCCUUCGCUGAGCGCGUGGGUUGUUGACAAGAACAAAGAAAAUGGACGACCCAGUUUAGGUAAACCAAACGGAUUGGGCCCUAUUGAUGAAACAGGUCCUGUCUCAACCUUUGAUAGUCUCUCCAUCAGUAGCAGCACCGAGCAUCCUGCGUCUUCCUAUUCACCUCCUACUCCAUCUGCUCCAUUACUGCCUGAGGAUGCUUCUUGGCUUCAUAAUGACACUAGUACUAAUAAAGCAGAGAGCUUCUAUGACCAGAAAACAUAUAUGGAACUACCCGGUGUUAUGAAGCCAUACACUAAUCCACCAUUUGUUGGGAUUUCUUCUUCAGAAUGGUUACGUCGGUACAGAGAAAGUCGGAAUCUUGGACCAGCCUAUUCCUAUCAAGCACAAGGGACAAACAAUUUGAGAAACUUCUUGGCUCAUGGGUCUUCCAAGAUCAGUCUCUUAGCUAAGUACGGGACACCAAACGAACAACCGGCGAUCUGUGCUGAAAACCCAAUGUUUUACCCUCAGCUCUACAUGGAAGAAAAUGGAUCUAGAGGAGAGAAGCUCUACAACGGUCAACAAGGAACAACAAAUGCUUAUGGCUUCAGUGAUGAUCCCGGACCGUUUCUUCGAUUUCUGAGAGAGAAAGAGUGGCUGAAUGAGAAUAGUCAGAGGUUAAGAGGACCUUCUCCUGCACAUAUGAACAACUAAAGAUGCACGAGUGAACAAGAAACUGUCUCAAGUUGGCGAGUUGUGACAACCUGUAGUCAAUGUUUUGUCCCUCAAUUUUUCAAGAGAAUGGAAACCUAUAUUAAGAGAAGGAUUUGUUGUACAUUAAAAAAAAACAAAGAAAGGAAACUUCAAAAGUUAUAAAAAUCCAUCAAGUUCUUUUGUUUCGUGAGGAAUGCAUUAGAUUAGCCUUGAGAUCAUUACAAAAAAAGUAUACGUAUCAAAACAAUCAGUAUCAAAUAAUAAUCAUCUUCUUACAUCGGAGGAGUAAAAUUAGUCUGGAAUAGCAUCUGAUAAGCAGUUACAAAAAAAGGAAAAAAAAAAAGGAGCUAAUAGUAGAGAAUCAAGCAAGUAACAUCCUGAUCAAGAUGAAGUUCUUGUUUCAGUACACUUGCCGUUUCCUCAAGCCAAAGAAAGAAAACAAAACAAGAUGAGAGAACCAAGGAAAGAGUAUUGAGAAAGCAAAUGCUAUGUACCAACAAUAGAAAGUGGAUCUUCUUGUUGUACCAAUCCAGACUAAUCCCAGUCCUCCUAUUUUGCUUGAUAUAUCUGUUGUUAAAUGUUCUAUCACACAUGUCUCUGCCUCUACCAGUGUGUGCAUGAUCAUUCAGUUUUAUCAUUAGGUAGCAAAUUCAGCUCCUUCAUUUGUGUCUCCACUUGUACUAAGCCUGUCUGAUCAAGAAACCUGCAGAACAAAGGCAACAUAAACAGCUUUUGAAAUUUGUAAGCUCUUCAGGAUGCAUAUUACCAGUAACAUUUCAUCUUUUUCCAUAAUCUUAUUCAAAGUAAAAACCUUCAGAAUCUUUAGAAGCCUUAAACGGGUCACAGAGACUUCAAGUAAAAAACACAAAAAUGAGAUCAUUUCUAUAAAAAUAUACAAAACCAGAUAACUUAUAACCCUUAUCUGAUAUCUAACUCAAUUUACACAUUAGAACCAUGAAACAGGAACUCCUUCAGCUCCUAGCUAACAGCAAUGCAGAGAAAUAUAUUCGAAUCCUUAAACAGAACAACUCAAGGAUUGAUCAGCAACGACAAAAAGACACUAGAGAAAGUUUUAGGAAUCAGAUCUAAGACGAAACAUUUAAUUAGCCUAUACAAAAUUGAGUUAAAAGAGAAGCAAAAUUUGACAUACCAAUUGAGAAGGAUAAAGAGAGAAGCGGCGAUGAUAAUAAGAAAGCCAACAUGAACAAGCAACAUAGACUGGCCACUGGUGAAAGCUACAGAGAGCAUGAAAGCUAGACAAAGACCCAGUAGUAGAAACGCGAAUCUCAGAGUGUUCCAUGUUGGACCCUGUUUAAAAAAUUUACGAUCCAAUUUAGGGUUUUAACAAAGCACAUAUCACACAAAGCAGUUAAGAGAGAUCAUCGUGCUGACAUUAACGCCUGGAGCUAAAGCUCCGAGAAGAACAGCUUCCGUUGACGAAAUCUGAGAUUUUUUCUCCUCCUUCUUCUCCAUCUUUCUUCUUCACAGAGAGUUCAGCGACGAAUCUGUUUUUUUUUUUUUUCAAUUCCGAGGAAACGAUCAACUUAAACCGAAAUUGUAAAAACCGGCUUAUUCCGGUUAUUGUUAAUUGAUUAAUCAUAAUUGGUUUGAUUUCAAUCCUAUGUUUACAAACAUUGACCGUUGACCAUUGACUUUUACGACAUAGUUAAUCAAAUCAAAUACAGAUCAGAGUAAGCUAGACGUCACAUUAAAACAUGUUCUUAUUAACAAAAUCUUCAUCAUAACGUGUUAAAACUACAAGUAAAAGCAAAUUGCUUUGAAGCAAUGAUCAUAAUGUUUUGGAAGAGUAGGAAAAUCAAAACGUGAUACUUGGUUUUGGCCUAUACAUUUGUGGAAACUUUUGCUAUUCUAUAACCAAUUCCAAAAUCUUUUUAUAACAUUCAUUUUAAUAUAUGUAUAAAGGAAAAUUAUCUCCAUUGAUUCUUCUGGUGGCAAAUGCAAUUAGGUGACAGCAACAACGAUGGCCAAACCAAAAAUUCAGGAUAACCAAAGCUAAAAGUAAGUAUUUUAUCUAAUACAAGAUUGAGACUUUGUUCAAAAGUAACAAGAUACUUUCAAUGACCUUCUUUAGCUAUAUAUUGCAAUCUUGCGAAAAACUAAUGUUUUAGCAAAAAUUUAAGUUUUCUACCUAGUUUCUGCAAUUAGCAUCCUUUUAACCCAUUAACAAGGCUACAUAAAAACAUAUUUCCAGUUACAAACAUAUCUUUAUUUGAUGCAUAAUUUAAGUAGUAAUCAAAAUUUAUAAGACAGAAAUGGUGGUUGGUGGUUGAAAACUUAUGGUAUAAGAGACUUACCAACAUCUUGAACGUAUAGUAUGAGACUACGAACUUACGAUCCAGUUAGAGUUAGCAAUGUAAUAAGCAAAAUGUAAGAAAAAUACGAGUUGUGACUUCAUAACUUUCAAAGAACAUGUUAACCUUUUAUAACCAAACAUCUGCAUGUCCAUUCAUAUAAAAAAAAGAAUUUCCAUAUAUUUUAAAACAAAUUUUAAUGUAUCAUUAGUGUCAAGAGCAUAUUUAAAUUAAACUAGAUUAAUGAUGAAUCGAAUGUAUCAAACCAAAAACAUAAAAUAAAAAUAGACAGAUACGACUAAUAAUAAUGAAUGACAGGAUUCAUGAGUGGCUGCUAGGUAGUAGUAGUGAUUAUUAAACAAAUGUUUAUUCGUUUCAUUUAUUUAUUUAUUUUUUAUAAAAAUAAAAAUAAAAAUCUUAGUUGUCCCAAACUCUAUAAUGAUGAUAUACUUACACAAUUAGUGUUUGGACAAUAAUAGUUAGCCCUCUUAAUUUUUUAGUACAAGAUGUCAAUAAUAAAAGUUUCCCCGCCCAUCACUAACAUCUCGCCAUCUGUCCCAUUUCGACAGUACAAGAUAACUUUAUUUAUAAAAAAAAAAUCAUAGAAAACAAAGAGAUUAAUAACUGAUUAACUAUAUCAUUUAUAAGAAAAUUGAUCAACGUGCUUAAAUUUUAGAUUUGACUCAUAGUUUUAUACAUACAUAAAAAGACAGUUUUUUUUUUUACAUUAAAAUGAAAAUACUAAGAAGAUGAUAUAUCAAAAAAAAAAAAAAGACAAAGACAAAAUAAAAUAAAAUAGAAAUAGACAAAAAUUGGAUAUAAAGGAUUUUAUCAAAAUUUGCCUUUUUGUUUAACGCGGAAUAAUUUUUGGGAGAGUAUUAAUUUCGUCAAUUUUGACAGUAGUUUUCUUUUUGUUUUGUUUAAGAGAAGGCGAGAGACGAAGAGAAGAGAGUGACUUUUUUUUGGUUUAAUGGUGCUUUUGUGAGAGAUUCCUUGUGAACAAAAAUUCUUAAGGAAUCAAAACCCUAUCUUCUAAUCACAAACCCUAGAUUUUGUUUCUCAAAUUUUUCAAAUUUUUUUCUUCUUCUUCUCUUUGAUCUGUGUCUCUUUCCUUAUGAUUCCCCAAUUCUUUGAUUCUUUGUGAUUCGAGCUGAAUUGUUUGUAGAUCAGAACCCAGAAAUCGAAUUGAACAAAAUAUUGUUCAGCAAAUCGUGUGUAGAUCAGAAGAACCCAAAAGCUUUAAACUUUUUGAUCUGAAUUUGAGUGGAAGCAUCGGACUUUUGAGUUUGAUGGAGUGAUGAUUUGAGGGUGGCGAUUUUCAAGUGGGGGGAACGAUGACUGGAUUGGGCGUUCGAUCCAGUAGCUAUGGUUCCUUGGAGAAGACGGGACUUAACGGCGUCGUUUUGCCCAUCCAGACCACUAUUACGACGACGCGUACAAAACCAUCUAAGAUGCAGAAAGAGAGGGAAGGGAUUGUACAUUGGAUCUGCAAAUUCGUUGGUCGUAAGAAGGUCGGCAUGUUGCUUCUCUUCUUAAUCUCCGCCGUCGUCUUCCUUCGCGUCCUUUACGUUGGCAAAGGUUAUCCAUUUUCUCUUUUAUUUCCGACCAUUUUGGGUUGUUGAUGUUGUGGAUUUAGUUCCUAAGUUGGGUUAGCUUUGAUUCAUAUUUGGUUCGGCUGAACAAUUUUAGUAUUGUUUUGAUCAAUGUAUUUGUUUUGGCUUUAGAAUUGUGGAGCCAAAGGUUGUCUAGAGUGGUGAUCGUUAGGCUAAGAUGUUGGAAUGUAAUUCAAUUCAUGACUGAGAAGGUGAAUUGUAUGCUACUUGGAGCUAGAAUUUACUUCUAAGUAUCUAUUUAAGAGCUAGAGAACGGUACUGGUGGGAUUUUGAUUUGAAGUUUAGGAACAAUGCACUUGAAAUUGAUUGUAACUGUUCUUUUGCUUUUGUAAUUAAGGUGAAGAUGGUCAGGAAGUUCAAGGCCCUCCGAGUCUUCAUUUCAAUGGCACUUCAGGCGUUAAUUAUUCUAGCAUGUUACAAGUAAAUGAUGAGCAAAACAUGAAUGUUGGAAAUAUAUCGAUCAAGGCAAAAGAUGUUAUAGUGUUCCCUCCUCCUCCUGUGUAUUUUCUUGGCUAUUCGCUUCCUCAAGGACAUCCUUGUAACAGUUUCACCUUACCUCCACCACCAGCAGACAGAAAAAGAACAGGACCACGCCGUAAGAUAUUUACUCUUGAUUUCUGGUCUCUUUCCAAUUUGUUUUUUUUUUUCCGAGAUCACUACAAUAUUGUUGUUGUGAUGAUUAAGAUCUGAGAUUUACUGUGGUAGAGUCGUUUUGUAAGCAGUAUUGGGUUGUUCUGCCUGGUUUUGAUUUCAGCAUGCCCAGUAUGUUACCUCCCAGUAGAAGAAGCAGUUGCCUUUAUGCCAAAUGCCCCGUCAUUUUCCCCAGUUCUUAAGAACUUAACGUAUAUAUAUGAAGAACCACUAAACAGAGAGACAGAGUUUGGAGGGUCAGAUUUUGGUGGUUAUCCUACUUUGAGACAUAGGAAUGAUUCUUUUGACAUUAAAGAAACAAUGAGUGUACACUGUGGGUAAGUAUCUUUGUGAUGAUUUUGUAAUUCCCUGGUCCUUUUUCUGUCUCAUCUUAGUAUAUUUCUGUUUUUAUCCAUGAUUGUUUAAUCAGGUUUGUCAAAGGACCUCAACCUGGUCGAAAUACAGGAUUUGACAUUGAUGAGGCAGAUCUUCUUGAUAUGAAGCAAUGUCGUGGGAUAGUUGUUGCUUCAGCAGUAUUUGGUAGUGUUUGCAUGAUCCUUUUCUAUUUUAUAUAUUCAGUCUUUGUGCCAAUUUUUGCAUGUUUCUAAUGUUAGAAUCUUUCCAUUUCUUUAGAUGCUUUUGAUGAUGUAAAAGCCCCACAAAAUAUCAGUAAAUAUUCAGAGCAAACAGUUUGCUUCUACAUGUUUGUCGAUGAAGAAACUGAAUUAAUUUUGAAGAAAGAACGAGGCCUUGACGGAAACAAGAAAGUAGGGAUAUGGAGAGUUGUUGUUGUGCAUAAUCUCCCUUAUUCAGAUGGAAGACGCAAUGGAAAGGUAACUACAUCUCUCUUAUCUUUUCAAUAAGAAAGUUUAUGGACGAAAGUAUGCAUUUAGUUACUCCAAACUAAAGCAUGAACUUAUUGGCAUGCUAAAUAUUUCCCUUUAUAUGACAAUCUUUCUCCAAAAGUAUUGUACCCACACUGCUGUAACAGUAUCCUUUUGCUUAGAUUAUGCUGAUGCCUCGUUCUUUGCAGGUUCCCAAGCUUCUUGUCCAUAGAAUGUUUCCAAAUGCUCGCUAUUCUUUAUGGAUUGACGGAAAACUUGAGCUUGUUGUUGAUCCAUAUCAAAUUCUUGAAAGGUGAGGCCUAUCAUAUUUUUCUCAAAUAAGAUAAAUCCCAGGAUAUCUGAUAUGGUGUACGUAGUGUUCCCCAUAUUCCAUUGCAACCAUUUUUAAUUGUGGUUGUGUAUGUAGCUUACUGCAGUGACAGAAGUACAGAAUUCCUUUAAUAAUAUUAGUUAAUUCUUGUGGUAGGAAUCUGCUAGUUCCACCCCUUGUUUCUUUCAGACAAGUUUCCUUGAGCAGCUAGCGUUCUGUGCUUAACAUUACAGUAAUGUAAUAAAAAUCAACUGUUUCAAAUAAGUUCACGGUUUGAGUUUAGAAGGCCUUAGGCUUGGUAAGUAGUUUCUGGUGCGAUUUACCUGACAUCUCUUCUCAUCAGGUUCUUGUGGAGGAAGAAUGCUACUUUUGCAAUCUCUAGACAUUACAAACGAUUUGACGUCUUAGUGGAAGCCGAAGCAAAUAAAGCUGCUGGUAAAUAUGAUAAUGCUUCUAUCGACUUUCAGGUGGAUUUCUACAAGAAUGAAGGGUUAACCCCUUAUUCUGUGGCGAAAUUGCCAAUCACUAGCGGUAUGCCUCUUUAGCUAAUCCUUUCUAAAAUUCUCUUUUUCGGGAUCAAAGACUUAUUAUAUACACAACUAUAUGGUUGGGCUAUGCAGACGUACCAGAGGGCUGUGUCAUAUUAAGAGAGCAUGUUCCCAUCAGCAACCUCUUUACUUGCCUUUGGUUUAACGAAGUUGACCGAUUCACGUCCAGAGAUCAAAUCAGUUUCUCAACAGUAAGAGAUAAGAUUGCAGCAAAAACAAACUGGACAGUAAGCAUGUUCCUCGACUGCGAAAGACGCAAUUUUGUAGUUCAGGUGAUUCUUCAUCUCAUGUUGACUUGGUUGUAAAGAAAAGGUAGUAUAAAAAGCCUGACUUUAUCAUUACAUGGUUUGUCUCGGAAACUCAAAUGCAGAGAUAUCAUCGAGCAGAACAAGAAAGAUUUGCAAGGCAACGACCUCCGGUGCCUAAGUUUCCUCCUCCACCGCCUUCACCGCCUCCACCGGCAUUAAUCAGCAGCGAUUUGCCUAGAAAAAUGUCAAGUGGAAGGGUAAGCACAACACCGCCAAGAAGACGUGGAAGAGACAGAAGGUCUGGUCAAAGGGGUCACAGGAAAGCUAACUUGCCUGUAAGAUUACCAGAUUCAGCAUAAUGAGGAGCUGGGGCUUCUCCUUCUUCUUGGUCAUCCACACACGUUCCAAUUUUACCCACACAGUAUGUUUAUUUUUAUUUUUUUUGUUUCUCUAUUUGAUUCUAAGGAUUCAAAAUCAAUUUUUUAAUGUAUAUAUAUAUACACGAACAUUUUGUACUUGGAUAAUAAAUUAUAGUUUUGAAAUUUUGAAGAAAGAUAAAUCUAUNNNNNNNNNNNNNNNNNNNNNNNNNNNNNNNNNNNNNNNNNNNNNNNNNNNNNNNNNNNNNNNNNNNNNNNNNNNNNNNNNNNNNNNNNNNNNNNNNNNNNNNNNNNNNNNNNNNNNNNNNNNNNNNNNNNNNNNNNNNNNNNNNNNNNNNNNNNNNNNNNNNNNNNNNNNNNNNNNNNNNNNNNNNNNNNNNNNNNNNNNNNNNNNNNNNNNNNNNNNNNNNNNNNNNNNNNNNNNNNNNNNNNNNNNNNNNNNNNNNNNNNNNNNNNNNNNNNNNNNNNNNNNNNNNNNNNNNNNNNNNNNNNNNNNNNNNNNNNNNNNNNNNNNNNNNNNNNNNNNNNNNNNNNNNNNNNNNNNNNNNNNNNNNNNNNNNNNNNNNNNNNNNNNNNNNNNNNNNNNNNNNNNNNNNNNNNNAUAUAUAUAUAUAUAUAGAUGUUCUUUCAUAAAGAGAUCAACGUGUUGGACCUGUUUGUAAUCAAUAAUGAACGACCAAUUGUUUUUUAAUUUUCGUACAUAAUGAUAUAAUUCUAUUUUGCUAUACAUGGAUUACAUGCGACUCAUAGUAACAGUACAUACUACAUAGGGUCAAAAUCAAUUUAAAGUCGUCGUAGGAUGUUUAUCUCAGACUCAUUGUUGUUGAUUCAUAAGUUAACUUUUUAAUUGGCUUAUGAUGAGAACUAACUCAACACCAAUUUUGACUAUUGGUCUUAAUGUUGUAUUAACUUAUACGUCAAUCAUGCAUGAGAAAGUAACUAUAGCUACUCCCAUCAAAUGGCUAUUUCUGAAACUUUUAUGUUUGUUUUCUAUACAGAGGAAAUGUAACAAAAUUUCAUCUAUUACACUUAAGUCAGCAUCAUAUGUACUAAAAGUAUGGUUAAAUUGAUUGACUGAUUUAACUUUUUCAUAAUAGAAGCAAAUGGAUCCUAAAUAUAAAUCUGUAAUCAAGUUUACUUUCUUUCUAGCUAGUUUCUUACAAUAAAAUAAAAUAUCAUAACACCAAGUAUACACAAAACGAUAUUUCUCUUUAAUGUAACACAUAAUACAAAAGAUUUGUAUGUUUCGACAAUUCAAGUCAACUCUUUGUUUUGUCAUACAUAAUGUGUGUAGAGCAAAAACUCACACGUCUCUUCUUUUUUAUAAGGACCAUCCUUAGUUGGAAAUUAAAACCCUAGUGCAGCGAUUUGGAAUCGCAAACGCGACCGCUACGUGAUGUCCCACCGUUCCCAACUUCCAUUUGUAUCACACGAUUCAAAACCACAAACAAACAAAACAAAACAAAAACACAUAACUGCGGCAUUGACCCUCUUGAGCUAAUGAUCAGAUAUCACCAAAUACUCUACUACAAAGGACACAAGAAACAUCAAGAAAGAAGCAGAGAAUAAUGAAGUAUGGUCUGUUAAUCAUAAACUGUAUUAUCCUCGCUAUAGGAACAUGUGGAGGUCCUUUGUUAACUCGUCUCUACUACAACAAUGGUGGCAAACGAAUCUGGUUCAUGAGCUUCCUAUCAACCGCUGGUUUUCCAAUCAUUCUCAUCCCUCUCUUCGUCUCCUUCCUCAACCGUCGCCGCUGCAACCGCAAGAACGUAGCAAACGCAGCAAAAACAGAGCUUUUCCUAAUGGAAACUCCUCUGUUCGUCGCCUCAUGCGUCAUAGGGCUGCUCUCAGGACUUGACAACUACUUAUACUCUUACGGAUUAGCGUAUCUCCCAGUUUCCACUUCAUCCCUAAUAGUCGGAACUCAGUUAGCUUUCAACGCUCUCUUUUCUUUCUUGUUGGUCAAGCAAAGGUUCACUCCCUUCUCUAUAAACGCUGUCGUUUUGUUGACUGUUGGUACUGGAAUCCUUGCGUUACACAGCGAUGGAGACAAGCCGGCUAACGAGAGCCACAAAGAGUAUGUGAUUGGGUUCUUGAUGACUCUGAUCGCAGCAGUUCUGUAUGCUUUCAUAUUGCCGCUCGUUGAGCUCACUUACAAGAAAGCUCGACAAGAGAUCACUUUCCAACUUGUGCUCGAGAUUCAAAUGGUUAUGUGCCUUGCUGCUACUUGCUUUUGCGUUGUUGGCAUGUUCAUCGUUGGAGAUUUUAAGGUAAUAACACUUUUCAUGGUAUUUUUUUUAGUAUAAGGGUAUCAUUGGAUGUAUCUUGACUUUUCUUGAAGCAAUAAUAUCUAUAGAUUUUUCAAACCUUAUCUUGUAUUUCAAUAAACUAGUAAUUGUUUUAACAACGUGUAGUUUCAAUCAUAUUUAUUGCUUUGGAUAUUUCAAGAAGUCCCCAUUUCUAUAUAAAAAUCAAUAAUCAGUAUAUGAUCAACUGAAAUCAUUAAUUACUAUACAAUAUAUAUGUUUUUGAAGGUGAUAGCAAAAGAAGCAAGAGAGUUCAAGAUCGGAGGACCUGUGUUUUACUAUGCAUUGAUAGUGAUCACAGGGAUAAUAAUGCAAGGCUUCUCCUUAGGAGCCAUAGGGGUUGUGUUCUGUGCAUCGUCUCUAGCUUCAGGUGUUCUCAUAAGUGUUCUGCUUCCGGUGACAGAGGUUUUAGCUGUCGUUUGUUUCCGGGAGAAGUUUCAAGCUGAGAAAGGUGUCUCUCUCUUUCUCUCUAUGUGGGGAUUCGUCUCUUACUUCUACGGCGAGUUCAAAUCCGGCAAGAAAGUUGUAGUCGACAAACCUCAGCAGCCGGAGACAGAGCUCCCUACUCUUCCAGUUCGUGAUUUUGCUGCUUAAAUGUCUUCAGUAACUGUGUUGUUUUGUUUUUUUAAUAGCAUGAGUUAUUUAGUAUUUUGUUAUUGUUCUUUGUGUAUAAUUAAAUGGUCUAUAUAUACUCUAUAGUGUAAAUGUAUAUGUAUAAAUAAACUUUAUAGAUAUGUAAUAAACGAACAGUUUUGAUAGACGUGUCGUAUCAUAACCCGUAAGACAGAAUGAUAAAGUGAUGUGACAAAAGAAAAAGUUAAAAUUCUAGAGUGGGAGAAAUCUAUAUGAUAAUGUUGUAUCUCGUAAAUUUUUUUAUAAAACAAUUGGAUAAACGUUGAGAAGAUACUUAAUUAGCAUUAAUCACAACAUGUAGAUAUCAAAUUAUAUUCAAUACAAAUUUUAACCUUUAACAUGAAUAAAUUUCGUAUAUUUUUUCUUAAUUUUUGGUAAGGAAAUUAUGCUAUUUAAAAUCAAAAUAACGAUUACAAACAAGAAAGGAAAAAAAGUCAAAGAACCCAUAAACUCUCAAUUAAACCUUCCAAUUAUAGAACUGAAAAUUUAAAUGUCAUGACACUAAAUAUAGAAAGAAAUAAAUCCAGUAAAAAAAAGAAAAAAAAAAACCGUAGAAUUAGUUGAAACGUAAAUUAAAAAUACUCAAAAGAGUAUGGGAAUAUGGAUAUGGAUAUUAUUAUUAUCCGGUCUAUGAGAUAAUAAUUACUACGGUUUUUUAAUACGAAAUAAAAACUGUUAGCUAAAUUUGUGGGCAUAAAAUAGCCAUUAGAGUCUGGCUCUCUAGGUCGGACAAACACAAAGAUCUCAAGACAGAACCUAACCAGACAGUAACACCAACCCGGAUAACUACUAACUCCUCCUAGCUAGCUUGCACCAACCCCCAAAAGUUUUCGUUACCUCUCUCAAGAAAUCACAAAACAUCCAUUUCCAUAUUUUUUUUAGAAAGAAACCAAAACAAGAAAUGGUGAAGGCUCUUGUGAUCAUAACCUGCAUAAUCCUAGCCAUAGGAAACUGUGGAGGUCCUCUGAUUAUGCGUCUCUACUUCAACAAUGGUGGCCAAAGGAUUUGGUUCUCUACUUUCCUUGAAACUGCGGGCUUUCCGGUCAUCUUCAUCCCUUUGCUCUUCUCUUACAUUCACCGGCGCAGAAACAACAAUGGAAGCGAACCUACAAGUUUCUUUCUUAUCAAGCCGCGUCUUCUUGGCGCGGCUAUUUUCAUAGGCAUUCUCUCUGGCUUUGAUAAUUACUUGUAUGCGUAUGGUAUAGCUUAUCUCCCAGUUUCAACUGCUGCUCUCAUUAUUGCUUCACAGUUAGCUUUCAUAGCUAUCUUCUCAUUCUUCAUGGUUAAACACAAGUUCACUCCUUUUACCAUUAAUGCUGUUGUGUUGUUGACUGUUGGAGCUGCGGUUUUGGGAAUGCAUACCGAAACUGAUAAGCCCGCUCAUGAGACUCGCAAGCAAUACGUUACUGGGUUCUUGAUGACUGUGGCAGCAGCUGUUAUGUAUUCUUUGAUCUUGCCAUUAGUGGAACUUGCUUACCAGAAAGCUAAGCAACCAAUGAGCUAUACGCUCGUGCUCGAGGUCCAGAUGGUUUUGUGCUUCCUUGCUUCUAUUGUCAGCCUCAUUGGUAUGUCCAUCGCUGGUGAUUUCAAGGUUAGUCACAGUCUUUUGAAUCUUAAACCUGCAAAAGAGUUUCAACACGAGAUGGUUUGACUUGAACCCUUAUCUUUUUUGUUUUGUUAUUUUUGCAGGCACUACCAAAAGAAGUAAAAGAGUUCAAGCUGGGGGAGGCAGUGUUCUAUGUGGUGGCUGUGUUUUCAGCCAUUAUUUGGCAAGGCUUCUUCUUGGGAGCCAUUGGAUUAAUCUUCUGCACAUCUUCUCUUGUCUCGGGUAUUAUGAUAUCAGUUCUUUUGCCCAUCACAGAGGUUUUAGCUGUCAUUUUCUACCAUGAAAAGUUUCAAGCAGAGAAGGGACUCUCUCUUGCUCUUUCCCUUUGGGGGUUUGUCUCUUACUUUUAUGGUGAGAUCAAGUCUGCCAAGGAAAAAAAGAGAAUUCAGCAGGAGGAGAGUCAGGAGCCAGAACUGUCUUCUUUGCCUAGAACCAUAAGCGAGUGUUAAAACGAAAUGGAUCAUAGAGUUUUUUUAAGAUAUCGUAACACGCAUUUAUAAGCCCUGUAGUUAGAUUAGAGGAUGUUUACAACUUGUGGAACUAUGCCAAAAACACAACUCUCGAGGAGUUUUUUCAUUUUCUUUUCAGCUUUACUUGUUGAUGUCUCUUAUUAUUCACAUCAAAUGAGUUUGUGAUAGAAUAUGAAGUCAAAUCAUGACCCUUGCCCUUUCUGUUAUGCUGUUGACCUGUUCGUUUUUCUAGAUGAAAUUUCACUUGUGUCUGUCUUCUGCUGAAUGCUUCUUCUUUUAUCUUUCAUCUCUCGUGGUGGUUUCAUCCCAUUAACUUGUUGAACAAUAGCACCAGCAGCAUGAUUAACGAGAAGUCGCGUAUGAUCUGAGGACCCGUUCGAUUCCACCUGUAAGUUCAACCAGUAGAGAGCUUCUGGUAAAUCCUGUUUGAUUCAUUUUCAUGAUUCUUCAUUACUAUAAGGAACAAUCACUAGUGAGAGGAGAUAACAUUCAGUUGAAUCAAUAUGUAAAAGCAAAAGCCCCAACAGAUCUUUUAGCUUUUUCUAAUGUUAUUUCCCGGAUACUGUUUCCCCUAGAGCUAGCUUCAAGCUAUUUGAAACUUGAAUGUAUCAAAAAUACAAGAACAGGUCUAUAGUAUUAUUCUACAUGUUUAUAAGAGAACCUAUUCAUCUCAUUUUUUAACUGUGUGUUAUCUAAAUAUAUCUGGUUUUUUAACUCUUAUUUCUAGCAAGCCUAGAAAACGACGAGUAAAGUACAAGCACAACUAAUUCUUCUAUUGUAAUCAACUACAUUCCUCUGAGGUAAAUUAUACCAGAUAUAUCCAUUUAGGUCUAACCAUCAGAUAUUACCCACAUUAUGCUGUUAUAAAUACAAUUGUAAAAAUAAAAUUUACUCACCAACUUCCUUCAGCAGAACCACUCAACUCGUUGUUGAUUUCUUCCUUUGCAAACUCUUCCAGUAUAGUACGCUGGCGUUCAUUCACUUCACUAGAGAAUACAAGGAAAAACGUACACCGCAUUAGCAUAUACCAGAAAUCUAUCAACAUCAGCGAACUUGUUAUAUGAUGAUUCCAAAAAUCAAACACUUAAUAUAGAUUCAUUCUUCACGGAAAUGACAAGAAGAGAAUCCAAACAAACCCACAUGCCACCAGAAUACCAAGUUGCUGAUCAUAUCAACAUGAAUUUCUAUAAUCGGAUGUAAAGUAAGAGACAGCAGGUAAUAUAAAAGAAGAUACCAGGGAAACUAAUUUCGAAAACAUCAACUUUGAGGGCAACAAAGUGCUUGUUUAUUCCAAAAAUAAGUAGAGUUUUUAGCAUAAUGUGGGUGUCUCCAACAAAUUUAUAAUUUGAACUCCAAGUAGAAGAAAUCUUACGUAGGAAAGUUAACUCGGAAACGGACAUACUGAUCUCCAUGGUCUACAAAAAAGCCUUGUUUCGGUAGUCCUGUACAAACUAACCUAUUAAAAAGAGUUCGAGCAAAUAUACAAAAAAAAAAAAAAGAAAGAAAAAAAUUUGACCAUAUAGCCUGAUAAUGAUUUUACCUUUGCCUCUUAAAACAAAAAGUUGACCAGGCUGAGUCCCCUCUGGUAUCUGCAACAAUUACAAUAUGGCACCUCUAUUAUCUCCAAAGGCUUGAGAUUUAAAUUUUCCUCUCGGUAACUUGUAUACUCAAUUGCCAAAUUGUAAACAGACAAAAUAUUAUAUCAAUCUUAUUGGAAUCUUACAUUUAGCUGUAUCUUUCCUGAAAGCGUUGGCACGACAACUUUGCCUCCCAAAAUGGCCUGUCAAGUAAGUUUUCUAAGACAUGUCCAGUAUGGCUCAAGGAAGCAAAAAUAGAAACAACGUAAACCAUAAGACAUGAAAGGAUGCACUUUAUAAGAAAAAUACUUCAGCCAAGGUUCUAUGGCUUGGGGACAACAUACUGCAGCAGCAUGCACUUGAGUUUUAUGACUGGGUGCCAUCAAACUGAGUUGGAACAGAUAUACCACAUUAUAUAGCUAUAGGACAAGAGCAUCCUAUCAUAAUGAUAUAGAUGCCACUUAACUUUUGGCAUAUAAAUCAGUUGAAUAGAACAAAACUCACUGAUUUCAGCUAGACUGCAGACAACUUUUACUAAAUUAUGGUACCACAGAGCUUUAUCAGCUUAGUUGUUAAGGCUUUUGACCACAGAGUGUCACCAUGAAAGGAAAACAUAUGUUUGGAAUGUACUGCUCAGUUUAUAACCCAAAAUUCAGGUGUGCUUACUUGUGUAAAGCUAAUAUUAGCAUCCACAUAUAUAUCUGACCCAUCCCUUGAGAAAACUGAAUCAUUGGCAACCUGUGAACAGAAGAAGAUUAGAUACUUGUCAUCAAAGGAAAAUGCCACAUGCAGUAAGACUCUAAAUGGGCAAGGACGAUGAUAAAGUCUAAUACUACUAAAGAACCUUAAAUAGCAUAAACAAUCUAUUCACUGGAUGUAAAAAGUCUUGAUAAUAUAGUGACAACUGGAGACACUAAACAGGAUAGAGUAGCCAACACAGGUAAAUCUGCGAACAAUGGUGUAGAUUAUUUUUGGAAUGAAUUUAUUUAAAGUCAAUGUGUGACUUAUAACAUGACUUUGACGCUUGCAUCAACUGUCUUAUUUCUUAGGCUGAAUUGAUCAAUGAGACUCAUAUCGUAGAUCAAAGUCAAGGUGGGUUCGAUUUAAACUUCUCUAAGCACCUUUCAGAAAUGUUAUACAAGUAAGAUUAAUGAGGAAAAUAAAGAUGCUUUUAACACACCUUUAGUUUGAUAUACAAGUUCCCAGGUUGAGUUGUUCUUGAUCUUACAUUACCAGCACCUAGGAUUGGGAUCGUAGCUUCAGGCUCCACCCCUAUGAUCAAGUACAGAAACAACAAAGCAAAUUAAAGAUUGACAGAUUCAUGCCAUCAAAAACCAAAUUUUCAUUAUAUGGUCCAGCAAAGUCAUGUAUUAUACUCCGAAAUCACAGUUCUAAAUUCUUUACUGCUACAAACACCAAGUGCAGCUAAAAUACAUUUAACCAGGAAAUGCACAUUGCCACGCAUAAUAUAAAGACAAGCCAGCCAUACAAUAAGUGUGACCAAUAUCAUCUUAACUACACAAAUACUCAGAGAAAGGAACAUAAACAGUGUGAAUAAAACCUUGCCACUCAUUUCAUAGCAGAGUGACAUGUUUUACAAUAAAAAAACAAGUUAAAGAUAGAAAGCAUGAAAAAUUUAAAACUAACCUCCAGGGAUCACAAGUUCAACAGUCUUUGUGGCUUCCACAACACCGGAUCCUCUACAAGACAUGCAGUACUCCUGUAGAGACAGUAAAUAUAUUUGUAACCAGUGAUGGAGAGAUAAUUGAAGUAUCAAUAAAAGACCUCUUUUCUCAGACCUUAACAAUAUGUCCCAAUCCCUUGCACGUCUGGCAUGAUGCUGUAAAAGGAGGAAUUGUUACCUGUUAAAGAGACAGAUAGCAUAGUACUGUAAAUAGAAAUUGUAUAAUUUAUUAAACCUCCAAAGAAAACAAAUAGACUUUAUCCUCUAGUUGGGACUUACUCGUCCAGCUCCCUUGCAUGUUGGACAAACUCCCAUGGCAGCAUCACGAGGGUAGCCAAGGCCAUCUGUAAAAUAAUAAAUGAUGAGAGAUUGGGAGUCAUGGGUUUGCAACAAUAUUACUGUCACCCAAGUAAGUCAUUCGUCUUCUCUAAAUUGGCUAAAUCAGCAAAUUUUCAAAGAAAAAAAGCUGUAAACGUUACAAGAAAAUAGAAAAGAUUAAAAAAGCGAGGCAAAAUCUCUACAUUACAUUUACAUUUACAUUGAUUGAUCACACUGUAAUUAGAAUUCUAUUUUAUUUUAAAACUGUAAAUAAAAACUGUAAGUAGAAUUUUAUUUUACCAUUUUGAGCAACUGAAUAAUAAUGUACAAUGACGAGUUAGGACUCCUCAAAGUGUCUAUACUCUCAAGUAUCUUUACAAGAUGUCGUGUGCACCAUGACUGGCUUUUCAAUAUUAGUAAAUGCAAAAGAGAUGAUAUCUGAAAAUUCUGGGGAUACUCACCACAGGAAUCACAAAAGACAUAUGCAUCAAAAGACAAACGUUUGGUGCACCCUUUUGCAGCUUCCGAAAAAGAAAGCGACAGUUCCACCUAUUCAAGUUUGAACAAGAUAAGGCAGAUAAGCAUGUGUAUUAGUGAAGAGUCCUACACUACAAGAUUUACAUAUGUCAACCAGCUUCCAAUUGUAUAGAUUAAAGAGAGAAUCAGAGAAACUGACCUGAAUAUCAGGUUGAAUCUGAUCAUUCUCAAAUAUCUGAAUCAAGUGUACAAUGUUAGAGAUGUGACUAGUCAGCAGUCACAAAAACAUAUGAGACAAAAUUGGAAACAAAUUUUUAUACUUCAGAAAAAAUCUUGUGGAACGAAUCCGAGAAAUUGGAUUGGUAGGCACGUCUGAAUCUCUCUGUAUCACCACCAUCAUUAUUUACAUAAUCUGAACUCCGAUAGCGCAGCUGUGUAGUGUGAUAACAGAAAGCAAUUUAUUUAGUGAUCUCACCACCAGAUAAGUAACAACAACACAAGCGUACCUUAUCAUAUGCUUCUCUUCUUUCCGAAUUUCCCAGGGUCUAAGUUUGUCAAUCGAACACAAAAGUACAUCAGAAGUUACAUUCAAAUUACAAAGAUGGUUUUAAAUGGGGAGGAUCUGAUGGGUGGAAAAAAAAUACCUCAUAUGCUUCUCUUAUUUCCUGGAAUUUUCUUUUUGCUGAAGGAUUAUUUCUAUUUGUAUCAGGGUGGAAUUUUUUUGCAAGCUGCAAAGUUGUACAUUCACUCAUAAAUUUGAGAUGACAAUUUUACUAAUAGUUUUUGUUUGGUGUAAAAUUGAAGGACAGUUUUACUAAUAACGGACCUAUUGACUCACCUCAUGGAAUGACUUUUUAAUCUCCUCACGGGUAGCUUUUGGAGAAACACCGAGAACAUCAUAGUAAUUACGAGCACUAGAGCAGGAUAUUCCUGAGAAAAUCAUAAUCCAAAACCAAAAGCAUUUAAUGAAUAAAACGAUAACAAAACACACUGUCUCCAUCAAGUAAACAUAAAGGUGAAAAACAAGGACCUGUAGCGUGAAUGUAACGCUCGAACAAUGGCUUCUGAAACCCUGCAAAGUGUCAAGACUUCCAAGUAUUGUAAGCGUAUAAUCCUAUAGAACACAAACAUCAAUUGGAAAUUCUCUAAUGUUAACUACCACUACAUCCUCAGCGUUAUCAGAAGGAAUUAAGCAUUCCGAGUGCCUACAGAAGAAUUCUCUCUAAAUCAACCCACCUUUGAAAGUGCCCAAUACUUUGAUCCCCCUUCCUGGCAAACCCUAAAACCCCAUUUCAGCUAAACUAAUCACUACAUUGGAAUUAUAAUAUACCAAAACACUGACAUUGCCGUUCUCGUGUUGCAUAUACACCUUAACCAGCUCAGAUAAGGCACAUGGAUGUCAAUUUUUGAUUCUCUUGAAAACAAUUACUAAACAAAAAUCAUGAUCUCCGGCUAAAACAACCAUCCCUCAUUCAAUUUACUUUAUCAAUUACCUUGUCGAAAUCCCAACGCGGAAUCAAAUGUUCUUCGUGACUGUAAAUGCCUCAGAACCUACGAAGAAAGGAUUAAACAAAAUAGUUAAGCUCUCUCUCUCGGAGAAUCGAUUCGAAAUCCAAAACUCGAGAGAGGGUGAAAGGAAACAAACCCAGUUGAAUCUUUGCAUGACUCUGUUGAUGAAUUAAAUGCAGAAGCGGAGAGGUUUUGUGUAUAGGGAGAGGUGUUAAACCCUACGCUUAUGCCAGGAAGAAGAAGAAGACCCCAGCAGAGACGUUUGUUAAAUCUUUUUUGCUUCUUCUGCACAUUUUGUCUGAAGUCUCUAACUCAUUCAGAAGAUUCGAAAUGAGAUUUAUGUAAUUUAUUCCAGCAAUACGGUAAAAAUAAAAAAUUGGCAGUAAUUAUGUUUGUGGUGGUAAUUGAAUCAACUAAAAUCGUAGACCGCACGAUAUACGUUGAACCGACUUUGACUUAAAAACAUUAUUAUACGAUCAAAUCAACGACUAAUAAUGACAACGCGGAACUCUGCCAAACAAAUUUAAAAAUUCAAUUAUUGAUUUUUAUUGUUACCUACGCUGCGAAAUUAAAAUUUCUCAUUUCGAAAGAAGAAGCAUCGCGAAGAAGAAGAAAAUCAAAAAUCAUGAGUGGACAAGAGAAUCACGAUGCUGGCCGGAUCUCUUCUACUCCCCCCGCCGCGACGGCGCCUUCUCACUCAUCAGAGUACGCUCCGUACCCUAAGCUCGACACUACCGACGUAACUCCUCCUCCUCCUUCUCAGCCGAUCCCCGCCGCUACCACCAUGCCGCCGGAGUCCAAUCCUUACGUUUCUCCUGCACCUGUUCCCAGGAGUGAGUUCUUCUUUGUCUUCUUCUCUAUCCGAUUUCGCAUCCUAAUCUGAUUUAUUUUUUAUUGAUUGAUCUUGGUUUGGUGGCAGAUACGAUGGAUUCGGUUAAGGAUGCGCUAGGGAAAUGGGGGAAGAUGGCUGCCGACGCUACUAAGAAGGCCGAGGAUCUCGCCGGAAACGUUUGGCAGCACUGUAAGCUUCUUCUUCUUCUUCCCCUUUGAUCAGAUGAAUUGCGAAUUCAUUUGUUUACUCUCUCUUGGAGAUUACAAUAGUAUUGGUUACUUAUGUCUUCUGGUUAAGUUAGUGUUCAUCAAUCUAUGCUUGUUCCUUAUAAACGCCGGAAUCUUGCUUCUCGUUUAACCACCAACACCAAAUCUAGCCAACAAUUUGUGAUAGUUAUGCUAUUCCUUUGGAGUUCAAGCCAAGUUCCUCACACUAUCAAUAAAAAAAGACUCCGAAAAUGCUGAAUUUGUUCAUUCAUAGGUUCUCUGUCUUUGGAUUUUAUUGCUUGUUUUUGUGAAGGAUUUAGUAUUUAUCUACAUAUGGUUAGAUGAUGUUUUAUUUGAACUGAGGGUAUAAGUUUUAUAAAUUCCCUUUGUUCUUUCUGCAGUGAAAACAGGCCCCAGUGUUGCCGAUGCUGCUGUUUCGCGAAUUGCUCAGGGGACAAAGAUAAUUGCAGAAGGUGGAUAUGAAAAAGUCUUCAAGCAAACAUUUGAAUGCCUUCCGGACGAGCAACUUCGCAAGACCUAUGCUUGCUACUUGUCUACAUCUGCUGGUCCUGUGAUGGGAGUUAUGUAUCUUUCGACUCACAAGCUUGCAUUUUGUAGUGACAAUCCUCUCACCUACAAAGAGGGUGAGCAGACUCAGUGGAGCUAUUACAAGGUAUUUUGGCAAUCCUAUGGUUCUUUUCUCUUCGUAGCUCUUUAAUUUGAUGUCUUUUUACAUCUAAGAGAACAAUUUUGAGAUUAAAGAUUCAUAUGAUGUAACUAUCGUAUUAUAUACAGAGAGUAGUAGGUUCAGGGACUCUAGUCAUUUCCAAUGAAUCUAUAUAUACUAAAUGGAAAAGUACAUACUGCUUCUAAGGAUAUUGUUGCGCAUCCAGGUAGAUGCGUGCCUUUUUGUUAUCUGAGUUGACAACUAGGACAUUCUUGGUAUGUCUAAGAGACAAGCUAAUCUUAAAGGAUUCUUGAUAAAAUUAGAGGUGCCAUCAAAUAGUUGUUGGUUUGAGAGUUUUUACUGGUUCAAAUGUAAUGUUUAAGGAUUGUUAAACCUCAAACAUGAGCUGAAAUCCAAUCCAACCAAGCAGAAAACUUCGUGACAAAAGGAUCUCUGCAUUGCUGGUUGCAUUAAGCAAAAAAGAUUUUGAGAUUAGGGUGGUUCCUUGAGAACCUUAAAGUCUAUUUGAUGUCAUAGUUCUUUGACGAGUCUGUGACUGAUGAUAUCAUAUUAAUCAGGUGGUACUUCCGGUGAACCAGCUGAAGGCAGUGAACCCAUCAACAAGCAGAGUGAACACAUCUGAGAAAUACAUACAAGUGAUCUCCAUCGACAACCACGAGUUCUGGUUUAUGGGGUUUGUGACUUAUGAAAGCGCUGUGAAGACUCUUCAAGAAGCGGUGCAGUCACAUGGUCCUUGAAGGUCCACUGGUACAUGCAGAUCUUAGUGGUAUUGUGCAUUAUUAUAUGGAACAGUGUGUUUUAGUCGUUUGAUACCCCAGUUCAAUGUAUUGUGUAGAUUUUGUCCUCUUGGUUUUUGCUUAUAACAUAUUCGUUGCGUUUGUUCAUUUGCUUUUAUAUGAAUGUGACAUCUUAUUUUUUUAUACAAAUCAUCACCCAAUUGAAUCAUUUAUCUUGUUCCACUUAGAUCCAUAUUUGUUCCACCAUGAUCCUUGAUAUUACAUUAUUCUCUGAAAAUAAUGCAAUAUAUACAAUUUAAAUUUGAAAUUAUCUGAAGUCGCUUCUACUUAAGGAACAAGGAUCUUCAAAAUGUUGCAUAUUCAGGUUCCAACAGUGUCACGGUAUUGGUAUCAAAAUGUUACAUCUUCCCAUCUAAUACAGAGACAUAUAAUUAUUGGAUACUUUUUGUAAAUAGUAGAUAAAGAGGGUCAAAAUGUAUGAAACAGAUAAAAGUAUGAGGAUAUUUAUGUUAUUUAUCAGUACUUCCCAGAGACGAGCUAGGUCUUUUUAUAAAAGCCGCCGCUUCAAAGAGCAGAGCAUCAAUCAACCAUCUAUGUGUAUUUAUGUUCUCUGAGAAACUAGGGUUGUGCAGUUCCGAUCCUCGUUGUUCUUGUUUUUGUUUGUUUAUGUUUAAGGUUUAGUUAUUUACGGUUUGAAAGUUCCCAAUGAUCGAACAACCUUUAUAUUUAGUUUCAGCCUUGUCUGAAAAUACAAUGUUGAAAAACCAAAAUUUUCUGAGGGAACUGUAUUUGCGUAUCUCUUUUUUCGUUGCAUCGUUUGAUUGUGGUUUAGUUGUUAUGUGUCUCCCAGUGAUGAUUCGAGAAUAUCUAUAUAUAAGUUUCAGCCUUGUCUGAGAUUAUUCAGUGUUGAUAAGUUCUUCGAUUCUGAGGGUACUUGGAUUUUCUUUGUACUGUGUACUGUGUACUGUGUAGUAUGAUUUAUGUCUUUAAGCCUUCCGCUAAACAAGAGUUUUCGAAGUUGAUUUAAAGUAUUCAGUUGUUUUUUUUUGUUUGUACGUGAAGGAUGAAUCUAAGUCUCAUUUUAUAUAAAAAGUUUUGUACUAUUUUAUCUGAAUAUGUCUUUGUGUGAGAGCUUCUAUAUAGCACAUAAUCAAACCUAGGUGUAAAUUUUUAUGGUUUGUUUUGUUACACGCAGCAUGCUGACGCUAUUUCGAUGCCUUGUUUUGACUUUUGAUGCUCCGAAUGUUAACUGCGUUUUUCAAAAAAUAUAAUUAUGAUAUUUUAUCUAAAAGUAAUAUUUUAGACACUUUAUAUAGAAUUUUGACUCAUCCAAUAGAAAUACUCAAUCAAGAUGUUAAAAAAAAAAAAAUUAAGAAAGAAAGAGGAAACAAAGAGAAGAGAGGGUGUUCAGAUUUUGUUUUCUUAAAUUUUGUUUUGUUUUAUUUUUUUCCCCCAGCCAACCAAUAAAAAUUGUCCACUUCAGUGGAUCUUAUACCCACAAAUGUGCCUUAAAUUAGACACUGAUCCUAACUAUUAGAACCAAAAUUUUAUUAAAACUAGUUAUUAUAUUUUAAGACCUAUCCUAAAACAUCAAUAAAAUCAGCAUUGUACCUGCUCUCAAGUAUGACGUAUCUAUCAAACUAAUGUAAUUUCAUUUUCUAAACAAACUAAUGUAAUUUCAUUUUCUAAACAGACAAAUUAACUAUAGCAUUUGGACUGCUGAUAACAUAUCCAAUGGGCCUUAGGAAAUAGCCCAAAAUCAAAAUAAGCAGGCUUGAGAAUCCAAUUCUCGUCAAGGUCACGUGGAAGGCAGCGGCUGGAUUCGAACAUUAAAGAGUUUCAUUCGUUAACACUUAACACCAUUCAUCACAGAAGAUCAUAUAUAUUCAAUGUAUUGAAAAAGUAUAGCUAAACAAGUUUGGUAUGUGUUUUGGACAGUUGUAACUUUGAGUACGUAAACAUGAUCUAAAUGGUCGGGUUAUGCAAUCGCUUUAAUUGUUUCUUACUUGGAUUAGUUAUAUACAAUAUGACUAUAUAUUUUAAGCAUAAUUCAUUGUAUCAUUCUUAUGAAAUGACUAGCUUUAGAAGUUAGUGAAUGGUCAUUAAGAUUUGAACUUACGUUAAGCCCAUUUCUCCUUGUCGUCUUAUCCUUUUGCUCACCAACAAGCUAACGUCGUUCGAAUUUCCUAUUAAAGUUGUUGUUAAGCAUAUAAACUAUGACUAGUGUGGCCUUACUGCCUACCAAAUCUAAAGAUGUAGCACUUGGACUCUUCUUGUGUUAAAUGAACAUAGUCAGUCUUGCAAUAUCUACAUGUUGGAUGCGUUUAUUCAAUGAUUAUGUCCUUGAAUUUUAAGUUAAUGUUAAACAAUAUAUUUUUCCACGCAAACAACACACCACCACAAAUAAAUAAAGCAAGCAAAUCUAUUAUUCUGUAUUAUGUUUUGGGGCACAGUUGAGGAUACAUGAAUUGUAGUGCGGUCGCAUAAACAUGAUUCUAAUUUCUAGUGCGGUUGGAAAUACAUGAUUUUAGAGUUAGGUAGAAAAAACUAACGUUUGUAUAUACAGUAUUUGUAAUCGUUUGUAGAUCGAGAUUCUUUUGUUAAAACAAAUUUGAGAUCAAGUUAGAUAGGCCUUCGUAUGCUACUACUAGUCGAUGUAUUAUUUAUGUACCAUUUAAACUAGUUCCUAAUCGAAACUUAAAAUGUGACUCAAAAUUUUAUUCGACAAACUAUAAAAGAAGAAGCCUUCAAGGAAGUCCUUAAAAUCUUGAUUUAGCAUACCGUUUUGUAAGAUCACAAUUAUAAGUUGCAUCGGUAAAAAGAAUUAUAUCCGUAGAAAUGCACAUGCUAAUAUAUUUUUGCUAGCUAGUGGACCAAAAUUUUACGUUUAUAGCAAAACCAAAAAGAUAUGCAUAUAACAACGAUGAACAUGAAGAACAUGUCUAUUUAUGUGAAACAUUACCGAACAUUGGACUAACGAACCAAAGUCUACAUGACAUAAGUUAUGUUUUAUCAUCACACUAUUCCUAGGAAAGUUUAUUACAGGUUUCGAAAUAAAAGAGAGAAAACAAAAACACACACACACACACACAUAAAAGCAUGCAAAACGAAAAAGAAGACGAAAAGGAAAAAGGAAGAAAAGAAGGGCGGGAUUAGCAAAUUCAAAACGAAAAAUAAAUAAAGGAAGAACCGAGUCAAAGUAAGGCAACAUAAUUACGUACACUAUUUUUGAUGAUCGGUCAAACUUUCAUCUAAGACCCAAUUAGAGUGGUGGCUGGCUACUACAACUUCUCUUAUACAAUUAGAGGACUUGCAACUUUAUAAACUAUUCUUCUUAUCUAAUCUUAUAGGUAGGAUGUGUGAUACGUUUCGUGAAAACAAAAAAAAAAUAGUAAUUAAUAUAUCAUGUUCUCAGGAUUAGUGAUCAUUGCUCAACUAAGUAGGGGAUUUGGUCUAUCACGUAAGAGAAGAACAAACAAAUAAAGGUACGUGAUAUUAAUAAUUAUAGAGAGUUUUCAGAAAUGUGUGGCUAUUUAAUUACACUUAAGACAAAAAUAACAUAAUGUCAUAAUCGAUUAAAGUUGAAAAUACCUUAAAACCAAGAUUGAAAUGUCUAAAAAGAACACUCCAUACUUCCUUUUCCACCGGUCUAAGUCUUCUUUCUCUUUAAACUCUUUUUUUAUAUAUAUAUUUUUAUGUAUCAUAAUUAAGAGUUUAACUAAUUGCCGUCACGCACGUUUAAACAUAUAGUCCUAUUCUUUAUUCGUAAUUGUUAAUCUAAUCGCUUUUGAAGCACCACAAUGUAACACCUCAACUUGGACCAAAACUAGUCCAUCUAACUUUUAAAACUUGUAUGUGUGAUGAUAUCAUAGAUGAAACAUAAUGUCCAUUAAUCUAUUAUAAAUUGGUGUACCUGUAGUGUUGUUUAAUAUAAGUGAUGUUUUACUUAAUGCACAUAAUUAAAUAAAUAUAGAAGUUUAUCUAAAGUUCAAAUAUACAAUAUUAACUACCAAAACCAGUUGACAAAAAUAAAAAGCUAUCAAAAGAACAUUAAACUUAACUAUAAUUAUUUAUUAUAAGAGUAAGAAAAUUACCAAACAUAUGUAGAAUAUGAUUAUUUAAUUUUUUAUAAGUAGCUAAAUUUCCAAAACACAUAUUAAUUAGUAAGAUUUGAAGGUAUAUUAAAAAUAGCCAAUAAGAGAAAGAUAUUGUUUAAAGUGAAAAAACAGGAAAAAAAAAAAAAAUAGGUGAAAUGAUAAAGAUGUUAUAUUCACUAAAGUAUAAUGAUUUUUUUUGUUUACCAGAUAAAAUGAAAUGAAUGGAGAGAACUCUAUAAAAUAUUAUUAAUGAUUGAAAUGGGAUUAAAUACAUUUUUGUAUGUAAAAUAUUCUCACUGUAUAUAUAUACAAACCAAAACUUCGUCUCAUUUGUUCACACUAAAACCACAAAACUCUCUAUAUCUAUCUCUCUUUCCUUUGCAACAGUUUCUUCUACAUGACCUUCUUCAUCAUCUAGCAGAAAACAUAAAGAACCCUAAAUCCUUUAAAGCUUAAACCCUAAAUCCAGUUAUAUUAAAUGGGUCAUGAUAACAUCACAAAGCUCGGUAGUCUACUCGUAAAGCUACACAGAGCUCCUUCGAGUUGGCUCUGUCUCCAUCCCCGACCAGACCGAACCACCACGGGCGUCAACAACCAACGACGAAUCAAGCUCGUCAGAUCCGACGGUUCUUUAGAAGUAUACGAUCGUCCCGUAGUAGUCUCAGAGCUCACAAGAGACUUCCCAAAACACAAAAUCUGUAGAUCGGACUUGCUCUACAUAGGACAAAAGACCCCUGUUCUGUCUGAAACCGAAACACUGAAGCUCGGUCUCAACUACUUCCUCCUCCCAUCAGAUUUCUUCAAGAACGAUCUAUCUUUCCUCACCAUCGCCACACUUAAAAAUCCUCAAAACGGUGGCGUUCUGGUGAAGAAGACUCAGAAGCAGCCUCAGCCUUUUCUUAUACAGAAGGGUGAGAAAGGAGAGCGUUUAAAGAUUCGCGUGUCUGAAGAUUUCUUGUCGGAGCUGAUGAUGGAAGGAAGAAGAAACAGAGCAAACCAAGAAGAUGGAGACGAAGAAGAAGGAGAAGGAGAAGGUAGAGUUUGUACGACGGUGAAGUUAAAGAAAGAUUAUGUUCAACUAGUUGGUUUGCGUAAAUGGAAACCAAAGCUUGAGACGAUAACAGAGACCAAGGCAAUGAAAGCAGCAGCUGCAGAGAAGACGAAGAAGAAACGAAAGAGGUUUACUGUGAUGAAGAAGAAGUCUCAGAGUGAUCCAUCUUCGAAGCGUAAGCUUCAAUCCAAAUUCAAGUCCAAAACCAAGAAAACUAAUUCUUAGGAAAAUAGAAUAAUUAAUAUUUGUUUCAAAUUAAUUAGCAGAUUGUUUGGUGUGUGUUGAUACAUAGAAAUUGUUGGAUUUGAUGUAAAGAAACUGAGAUUAAACAAAACAAAACAAAAGAAAUUAACCAAAAGGGAUAAGAAUUGUUUUCCGAAUAUGUUGGAUUUUUUGCAGUUUGUUGUGUUAUAAUUAUCUCAAAUUGCAAACACUAAAACACUAAUUUUGUUUGUAGUUAGUAAUUAAUCAUCGUUGAACGUCAAAUAUGUUAAAAAUGUAUUUUUGCAUGAAAAUUAUGAGUUGCAUUUUUUGGGUCUAAAAGAAGUUGCUUUCGUACAUAAUAACGUUGGAAUCUUUCCAACAAAACCAUUCAAAUAAACUAAGUUUGAAUUAUUAUGAACCUAUGGAUAAACUUUGUCAGGCAGGGAAAACAAAAUAAGUGUUUUUCUUUUUGCUUCUAUUUUGGCAACUUGGUUUUUAUUGGGGUUUUAAGUUUUUUUUUUUCUUUUUAAAAAAAAAUCUGAAAAUAUAAUAACCAAAGAGGAAUAAAAUAGAUUAUACAAUUUGUCUUUAGUUACCGAUUUCAGCGACCAAAGCAUAACUAUUAUUUUAACAAGAACUGUUCUAUUUUUUUUUUUUUCUGAAAAUGAAACUGAAAUUUGAUUUUGUCAGUUUCUGUCGAAUUUUGAAUACAAUAAUUCGAAUGCAAUAAAAUUAUUGAUAUAUGUUUGGUCAAAAAUAACUAUUUCCUUAGAUAAAUAUUUGUAAUUUGCAUAUACAUAAUUAUUUCUAUUCAUAUUGAAAAUGAAAAAAAAAAGUCUUUGACUGGAAUGUGUUCUCUUUUCUACGAAUAAAAAUUGUAAGAAACAAAAACUGAAUUUAACGAAAUUAACUUCACUUUCAUUUCAUCAUUUUUGAUAAAAAAAAAUAUAUAUGUAAGAAAAAAUAGAAAGAAGCAAAACUGGUAAAAGCUGGUCGUAAUUUGUGAUAAAUGUUUGAAUGGGAAAAGAGAGAAAGAGAAGGCACGUGUUUUGUUUGUAGAAGGAUUUUUUAAAAACUUUUAUUUGUGUGUGUGUGUGUUGUGUCAGUCUCGUUAUUUGAUUUUUGUGUGAAAAAAGAGACAAAAGAGUAGUCAAAGAAAGUCACCCAAAAACAAAGACAUCUCUCUUUUAUUUUUUUCUUUUAUUUUUUUCUUAUUAGAAAAAGAAAAGCUCUGUUUCAUAUAAAUAGUAAAUCUAAAUAGUAGCAGUAGUAGUAGCCUUUUGAUUCACGACGAUGACGACCCAAUAAUUUCGUUCGAUAUAUAUAAAUAAGUUAGGUUUACUGUAAACAACAUAUAUAUCCUCUACAUUAAUGCAAUAUAUAAUACCAAAUUAUCUUCUGGAAUGUGAGUGGAUUGAGACGCAUUGACUCCAUGUUCAAUCUUUGCCUAUCUUCUUGGAAACCUAUUUUUUUCUUUGUUUUCUUUGGUUGGGAUGAGUUCUACAAAUUUUAUCAUCUCUUUUUUUAUAAUAAGAUCCUUACACAACAACACUAGUUGUUUCCGUAUUAUUUAUCAAAAUCUAAUAGGUUGCAAAUUAUCUUAUCUGCUGAAAGAUACUAAAAUAACGUACAUUUCUUUUUAAACACAAAGUAGGAGAAACAAAAAAGAUUGAUGGAAUUUUUUUAAUUAUAAUUUGAAAGUUUUAUUUUUAUUUUUUGUCAUUGUUUGAAAGUUUCUUUAGAAACAUAUAGGUGACUUAUAAAGACUAAAUAAAAAGUAAUGAAAUGCCUUACUUGGUAAUGAAAAUUGCCUUUGGUGCAAAUUUAAAUAUGUAUAUGGUUUGUGCCUGCCUAGUCCAAACUCUCAAGUACCCGCACAUGUGACAUGCAUUAUGCAUAUCCUUUUAUUUUUAACGAAUCCAACAAAUGUGAUCGUAGUUUUCUUUCUCCUUAAACACAAAUAAGUUUGUGUUCUUUUUUUUUUUUUUUUGUCGACAAAUAAGUUUGUGUUCUUACCCGCACAUGUGUUGCAAACUCUUUAAACAAUGUGAGAUCAUAGGAAAAUUCAAAAAUAUAAAGUUUUGUGUUAUUUGCAGAAGAUCAUAUAGAGUUAGUAUUGGCUGAAGACAAAACAUAAUAAAGUUAGUAUUGGCGUGGUUAAUGGGCCUAUAAUGAGUUCGGGCCUUUUCCGUACAUGUGAAGUAAAGAGUUUCCAUUUUUGGAAGUGAAUUUUCGUUGUAAAUACGGAAAGAAAGGACUGUUUAAUUCUCUUUGUCUCUUUAUCUUCUUCAUCGUGAAAACCCUAAAUCGAUGAAGCGAUCGUUCCAAGGAUCCAUGCUAGCUACGACGGAGAAGGAGGUUCUCGAUCCCACCGUUGUUAAGAAACCCGUCUUCCUCACCAAAGCUCACAGAGAAGAAUUAGCCCUAAAACGCCGCCACGAUGAAACCGAGGAUCGUCAUCGCCGCCUCGUUCAGAUCACUAGCUCCAAUUCCGAUAAUAGCAAUGGAAACCGUUACCGAGAUCGGACAAGAGAACGAGGCCGCGACCGUGACAGAGACAGAGAGAGAGAGCGUGAGUUUCGUGAACGUGAAGGCAAAGCUAGGGCUGAGAAAUCAGUGAAGUUAGAGCGUGAGAAGGAGAUUAACGCCAUGAAAGAGCAAUACCUAGGAACCACGAAGCCUAAGAAGAGAGUCAUCACAAAGCCGAGCAAGAAGUUCUGUUUUGAUUGGGAGAACACUGAAGAUACUUCCAGUGGAGAUAUGAAUGUUCUAUACCAAAACCCUCACGAAGCUCAGCUUCUGUUUGGAAGAGGGUUUCGCGCGGGGAUCGAUCGCCGUGAGCAGAAAAAACAAGUGGCGGCUAAGAAGCGUGAGGAAAGAGAUAAGCACUGGAGCGAGAAGAAGUUAGAGGAGAUGAGUGAAAGAGAUUGGCGUAUUUUCAAGGAAGACUUUAAUAUUUCUUAUAAAGGAUCCAAGAUUCCUCACCCGAUGAGAGAUUGGGAAGAGGGUAAGCUUAGUCCUGAGCUAUUGAAAGCUGUGGAAAGAGCUGGUUACGAGAAACCUAAACCUAUUCAAAUGGCAGCUAUACCUUUAGGGCUUGAACAGAGAGAUGUUAUCGGCAUUGCAGAGACUGGUUCAGGCAAAACCGUUGCUUUUGUUCUGCCGAUGCUAUCUUACAUAUCAAGAUUGCCACCAAUGAGGGAAGAGAAUCAGAGUGACGGUCCUUAUGCUCUUAUUCUUGUUCCUACAAGAGAGCUUGCAAAGCAAAUUAAAGAAGAGACUGUUAAGUUUGCACGCUAUUUGGGGUUAAAAGUGAUCUCCAUCGUUGGUGGGGAGUCCAUUGAGAAACAAGCGUUGAAGCUAUCACAAGGAUGCGAGAUUUUGAUUGCCACGCCUGGUCGAUUGCUAGAUUGUCUUGAGACAAGGUACGUGGUGUUGAACCAAUGUAACUAUUUGGUUCUUGAUGAAGCUGACCGUAUGAUUGAUAUGGGUUUUGAGCCACAGGUUGCAGAAGUGCUAAAUGCAAUGCCUUCAAGUAAUUUGAAACCCGAGAAUGAAGAUGAAGAGCUUGAAGAAAAGAAGAUUUACAGAACUACGUAUAUGUUCAGUGCCACAAUGUCUUCUAGUGUAGAGCGUCUCGCUAGAAAGUACAUGAGGAAUCCAGUCGUCGUCAACACUGGGGAGACCACAAAGCUGGUCACUCAACUAGUGAUCAUGAUCAAAGAAUCAGAAAAGUUCUCUAGGUUAAAGAAACUGAUAGAUGAACUCGGUGAUGAGAAGACAGCGAUUGUGUUUGUGAACACCAAGAACAAGGUUGACUUCAUCGUCAAGAAUCUAGAAAAGAUAUCAAGGUGUCGUGUGACAACAUUGCACGCAGGGAAGUCGCAAGAACAGAGAGAUAUCAGCUUAGAAGGGUUCAGACAAAAGAGAUUCAACGUUCUUGUUGCAACAGAUGUUUUAGGCCGUGGGCUUGAUAUUCCUGAUUUGGCUCACGUCAUCAACUACGAUAUGCCUAACGCAAUAGAUAUGUAUACGCAUAGGAUUGGACGAACUGGACGAGCAGGGAAGACAGGUGUUGCGACAACAUUCUUGACUCUCGAGGAUAAAGAUGUGUUUUACGGUCUGAAGCAGAAGCUUGUUGAAUCUAAUAGUUUGGUGCCACCUGAACUUGCGAGACAUGAAGCCUCUAAGUUUAAACCAGGAACCAUUCAUGAUAGAUUCUCCCAUUUUUAGGGAUAUGGUGUUAGUAAUGUUACUACCGAUGACUUUGUGUUCACUAUAAAUUAUGGAAAAGCACUAUACAACUAUCUAUUCAUUUAUAUAUUGCAAUUGAUGCUUUGCAUAUGCUUUUGUUGGUUUUGGGAUCAAAUCAUUGUUCUUACUUCAAUGAAACCGAAUCCAACACCAAGGUAGUACUAUAGUAACAAAUGAUAGACUUCGCGAAUCAUACACGAAGAAACAUAAAAGGAAAGGUACUUUGGUGAAACAAAGCACGAUAAAACCACACGUACAUAAAAAUAUAUAUAACUCAGAAGUUUAUACCGGAACCUCCAAGUUUCUCCUCGAUGAUCAUAUCAAUUCUCUUCUCCAUUUCAGGAGUCAAAUAAUUCUUCGAGUCACCAACUUGGCCUUUACGGAAAAAAUUCUUGUGAUCAACUCCUCCAGGUGUUCUUCCGGUCUUGUUGAUCUCCAAAUUCUUUAGGUUACUAAAUGAGCAAAGAUCUAAGAUCUCUUCAAUAGAUCCGUUCUCUUCUUCUUGCAACGUAAAAGGACAACCCAAGAACUCGGCAAGUUUCUUGAGCUGAGCAUGAGGUUCUGUUUUCAACUCCUCGUACUUCAAGAAAAGCACAUGUUUGGGGUAUUCUAAGCUUCCUCUCCAAUAGCUCAAGACAUGUUCCCAAAAGGGUCCGUAAUAGCUAACUCCAGUGCAAAACGACUUAAACAUUGACUUCAACGAGUUUUUCUCUUCUUCUAUCUCUUGAUUUGCACACUUGAAAUACCAAAACGAAACCAACACGUCUUUCACGUUCCUCCACACGUACACGAUCUUACAAGGAGAGUUCUUGAGACCUUCUUUAAGCGUUUGGAAGGGAACAUGAGUCGAGAAUAGCCUCGGGGAUGAUGAGAUAUUGCUCAGGUCUGGUUUCGAGCUUUUCAGGUACAGUCUGAGCUCGAAGAAUGGUACUAGGCUAUGAGGAUUAUCAAGAACAAGAGGAUGAUUAUCAGAAGAGUGUUUGGAUCUCUCGAGGAGAGCAACAGUGAGAGCUUUAAGCCAAGUAGUGCCUGAUUUAGGGAACGAAGCAACAAUUAUGUCCGUGUCUUGUGGCUCGAAAUCUCGUUGGAAACUGAGGAUUGCUUGCAAAGUUUUUUCGUUGUACCAACAUCCUUGGUACUUGAACAACUUCGUGCCUUCGAAGUCUAUGUCUGAUGGAAGUGAGGAGAUCAAAUUUAUGGUUUCUUCAUCAUCUUCUCUCGGCAGGUUCUUUGAGAUCUCCUUAUCCAUUUUUUUUCUUUGUUUGGCCUGUGGGUUGACUUUUUCAAUCACAAAACAAAAGUAUACAUAUACAACAUGAUAAGGAUGUGUACUGUGUCGUAGGCAGAAUAUUAUUUUUUUAAUAAAAAAAAUAUUUUCUUUCUUUCUUUUCAAGUUCAACAAACGCACUUGUUAAUUAUUAUGGAAAUAUAUAUAUUCUCCAUUAGUAACAACUAAUGCUGACAACAAAAGGAGAAUACCACUCCAGAUUAAAUAAGUUUAGGUGUUGUGCUGUUCAUAUACAAUAAUUUUCUAAUUAGAUAUAUCGAACGCAACUGAUAUUCGAUUUUGGUUUCAAAAGAAUUGUUCUAGAUAAGUUUAACGAAACCAAAUCCGACAUCAAAAGUAGUAAUUAACAAGAUGAUAAACUUAACAACGACAUAAGGCACAUUGAUCAACGAAAGCACAAUUAAACGGCACAUAAAAGAUAGAUAUAUGACAUAGAUAUAACUUAUAAAUAUUUCAUCAUAUCCGAACCUUGAAAAUGUUUCUGGAUGAUCAUAUCAAAUCUCUUCUCCAUUUCAGGAGUCAGAUAGUUCUUGGAAUCACCAACUUCGCCUUUACGGAAAAAAUUCUUGUGAGCGGCCCCUCUAGUGGUUCUUCCGGUCUUGUUGAUCUCCAGAUUCUUUAAGUUACGCAAUGAGCAAAGCUCUAAGAUCUCUUCCACGGAUCCUCUCUCUUCUUCUUCCACCGUAAAAGGACAACCCAAGAACUCAGCAAGUUUCUUGAGCUGAACGUGAGGCUCUGUUUUCAACUCCUCAUACUUCAAGAAAAGCACACUCUUGGGAUCUUCCAAGUUUCCUUUCCAAUAGCUCAAGACAUGUUCCCAAAACGGUCCGUAAUUGAUGACUCCGCUGCAAAACGAAUCGAACAUUGACUCCAACAUGCUCCUCUCUUCUUCUAUCUUUAGAAUUGCGCACUUGAAGUACCAAAACGACACCAACGCGUCUUUCACGUUCCUCCACACGUACACAAUCUUACAAGGAGAGUUCUUGAGAGCCACUCGCAGAGUAUGCAACGGCAUGUGAGUGGAGAACAGCCUCGGGGAUGAUGUGAUACUGGUCAGAUCUGGUUUCGAGGUUUCGAGGAAGAGUCUCAGCUCGAGGAAUGGUACUAGGCCGUGAGGAUUAUCAAGUAGAAGAGGAUGAUCAUCACAAGAGUGGUUAGAUCUCUCAAGGAGAGCUACUGUAAGAGCUUUAAGCCAAGUAGUACCACAUUUGGGAAACGAAGCAACGAUUAUGUCAGUGUCUUGUGGCUCGAAACCUCUUUGGAAAUUGAGGAUUCCUUGGAGACUUGUGCUGUCGUGCCAACAUCCUUGGUAUUUCAACAGCUUUGUGCCAUCGAAACCUACGUCUGAGGGAAGUGCAGAGAUCAAACUUACAUUUUCUUCGUCGUCUCCUCUCAGGUUCUUUGAGAUCGUUUUCUCCAUUUUUUUGUUUUUGUUGAUGUGUGGUUGACUUUUUUUAUUUAUUAACGCUCUUUUAACGUUAAUGAACAAGUUAAAGCAUGUUGUUUUACCCAAACGUCUUGUAGUAAAUAGUAUCAAAUAUUAUUUAAUAUUGGUGAGAACCAAAAUAAACAGACCUAAUUUACAGCUACAAAAAGCCAUGUAGCGAAACAAAUAAUUAAAAAAUUUAAAGCAAUCGUUACUUAUUACACAAUGGUAGGCGUUACGAGGAAAAUAAAAAGCACUUAUCAAGAGAAUCUUAAAUUCAUUUGGUAAGUACCUAUUACAAAACAUUUGAAUUAUGAGAGAAACAUAAUAAAAGCGAUAGAGAUGAUACACUCUCUCAUUCCAGUCCAUAAUAAAGGCGAGAAGGAUAGGGAAUACAUAUCAAACAAGAACGACAUAAACUUGGACAAUGUAACUCAGUAUUAUUAUUGGUAGAAGAAUGUAGAGGAUACAGAAUCAAACCCUUCUGUUCCACUCUGACCAAUACUGUUUUGAUCCACAAAGCCAUCGAGCUCAAAUGCAAACGUAUCCAUGUUUGUUGCAUGGGCUACAUUCCAAUAGCUAUUGGUCUCCGGAAUCCUGAGCUCAGCUCCAAAACAAGUACUUGGAGGAAGAGGUGGGAGCUCAUGAUCACAUUGCUCAUCAUUACUAUUUAUAGAUUGAUAACCACAUUCACUCUCUUGAGGCCACCCGUUGUAUGAGAAUUCAAUAGCGUUUUGGCUUUGGUUGUUGGACGAUGCGUAGAGAUUGUUGUUGUUGGUGCUAAGAGCUACUUGCUGGCUUGGAGGGUUGAAUAACUCGGAAAUGAAACGUUGGGAUUCAUCAGGAGAGAUGAAGGAAGUUACUGAGGAGCCACGAGGCAUAUCAGAGUAGACAAAGUUGGUUCGAGCAGUCAAGCCUCUUAUGGACCGUGCGGCUCUAUCAUAGGCCAGUGCAGCCUCCUCGGCCGUGUCAAAAGUACCUAGCCAAUACCUCUCUUUCGUAGUCGGGUUUCUUAUUUCAGCUGCGUAUCUUCCCCACGGCCUCCGCCUCACUCCUACGUACUUUAUUUCUUCAUUAUGUUGUUGUGGUUGUGGCUGCGAUUGUUGCUGCUUUUGCCUUUGGCUCUUUUUUGAUCUAGAGGACGACGAACCAGCAUUUGAAUUGCCAUUGAUCUCCAUUGUUAACUAAUGUAUUUUGCUCAAAACACUCAAUAUGUGAAAUGAUAGAGAGAUAAUUAGAAAUGGUUGGAUUUAGUUAUGUUUAAAGAGUGAAUACGGGUUUGUUUAAAUAGACGAGAUCACCUUCACUAUGAGUAUGUGUAUGGACCCUCUCUUUUAUUCUAAAGGUCCUUUUAGAAUUCUUUUUUAGAUACGAAAAAGUGAGUAGUCACAUGGAAAUGUGCAAAAUCAGAUGAUCAUCACCAUCUAAUCAUAAGUGAAAGUGAAAUGAGUUUGUGGCUUUUAGGAUUGGCCCUAGUGAAUCAUGUAGGAUUAUGAACCAAUCUGCAAUGGAUUUUUAUUUUCUUUUUUCUUUUGCUAAUCUUUUUAUCUAUUUUCUCUUUAGGCAUGCUAUUAUUUUUUUAGGAACGUGAGAUUCUUCGUGGCUUAGUUAUGAUCACUUGUAGUUGUAAUAUGUUUUCGCUUUCAAUUAUGAACUUUAAUCAUUUUAAGAAUCUCCUAAUCAACUUACAUUUUUUUUUUUUUUUUUUUAAACCAAAAUAAAUAUAUAAAACUUAAGAGUAGUGAUAUAUACACACACUGACACACAAGUAACUAUUUUAUUUGAAUACCUAUUGUUGCGAGUUUUACGGUUGUUAUUAUGAUCUAUUUGUAAUUGUGAAGCAUAAUGACACAUGCAUGCACUAGAUAGUCUCACAAUUUCAUAACGAUUUUGUGAUGAUAUAUAAACUAAUUUGGCAGAUUUGUGACGACAUAGCUAUGCUAUAUAAUAUAUAUAGUGUUGCAAUUGUAAAGCCGUCGUUUGACUUAAUCUAGCGACCUUUGUUUCUGAAAUUGCAUUGAAACGACUACACAUAUACGAGAUAUGUUUUUUUUUUAGAAAUGGAACUUCCCUUAACUAUUUCUUUUUUUCGCGAAUUUAUAUGUUUUUAAAUUUGUACAAGAUCGAGUUUUUCCUAUGAAUAUAUGUGUGCCACUUGAUGAAAUGAUGGGCUAAUCACAUGCUUUACAAUACUCAUGAUUGCAACCCUCGCAAUCUCUCGGAUCCAAAUUAUUAUUUUCAUUUCGUUUAAUCAUGAUUUAUUCGAUAUUAAAUUAUAUACAUGAUUUCACAAGGACUAACAAGAAAGCAAUUUAUAUCUAUAUUAUUAUGGAAACUUUACUAUAGAAAACUAUUUGUUAUAUCGUUUUUCUUAUUUAAAUUCUGUGGCGCUUCAUAUUGACUAUUCGAAUGCUUUAUAUGAUUAGUCGCAUGAACUUGAACAUGUUCAUUAUCCAAGAAACAAAGAGAUACAUCGUAUGAUAGUGCAUAUCGUGUAUAAUUAAUACUUUAUGAUGUUUAUAAAGGAUUGAAGAUUGAAUUAUAUAUGAUUCUCAAACUCUUUAGCUAAAUCAAUCGUAAACCACAAAAUCUUAUUGUUCUUAUAUGCUAAACUUGAAUGUUACACUUAUAUGUUUUAUCACACAAUAAGAUAACACAAACUAAACUAGUAAUGUGAUUUAUGGAUUGAAUCGGUCAAAUCGAUAAUUACCCGACCUUUUGUUAUACUUAUACGUUAACUAAACCAAAAUAAAUGAUUACAAUUCGAGGAAAAAGUUCGGUUAAUUAAUGGUUUAGAUACGGGACAACGUUGGAUAACCGAAAUCCACAAAUUUUGAGAAAUCUCUCGCUGUGGGUUUGGUCGGUGGUUCAGUCUUGAGAUAAGAGAUAACUUUCUGAGCGCCGAGGAAGACGAAACGAUGGGUUUUGUCUUAACCUGUACUUGUCCCCCUUCCUCCUCGCUCCUCGUUGUUUCUCAGCUCCAUCAUCACCAGGUAUGUUCAGCUUUGUUCUUCGUCUUCUGAUUUGAUUGUUCAGUUGACAAAUUCACAUUUUUGGGUCACAAUUCAGUUCUCCGCCGGAGUAAAAAGCUGCGAGCUUUGGCGUCGUCCUCAGUUAUCUCCUCCGACCCGUAGAGCCCUAAUUUCGAAUUCACGUUGUUUCAAUCUCCCUCAAGAACCCAUUCUCUCCGAGGCUCUCAAGGUUCUCUUUUUUUUCCAAGUAUCUAUUAAUAGGAUUUGUGUGAUGCGAAUUAGUUGAAAUUCAUAUAUGAGUUGUUCCAGUUUACAAUACGUAUGCCAAUUUCUUGAUGUUAUUUUGUGUUCUUGAUCAAUCUUGGAUAUGAGAGUACUAGUUAAGUGUUACAUUGUGUAUGUGUGUUUUCGCAUUCGAUGAUGUUUUGAUGCAUCUAAUGCUCUGUAUUGCAUUAUGGUUGCUUGCUUGUAGGAGCCAAUUGCAUUUGUGGGUGGGAUGUUUGCUGGACUUCUAAGACUUGAUCUAAACGAAGAGCCGCUCAAGGAUUGGGUGACGCGAACUGUUGAAGCUUCCGGUAUUAUGGAAGAGGGAGCUGAUGCGGUUGGGAUGGUCUCGAAUGACGAAGAAGCUCCUCAACAGAUUGAGAUUGAAUGAGGUCUGAGCUGUAUAUGAAUGAUGUCUCUUAUAUCUCAUUGGACCACAAGCAACUGUGAUUUUGGUUCUGCAGUGACCGCCUUUACCAUAUGCUAGGAUCUUGUGUAAUGUAACCUUGUGUUCUUGAUGUAAAAAUAAUCAGAAAUCCAAACAACAACGUUUCAUCUUGAUAUCUUGCGUGUCAUGCGUCUUUUACUCAGCUCUUAUGCACAACUUUUACAUUACACAGGUAUGCACUAGUUUAGCCAACAACCAAAAUCUUGGUUGAUCCGGAGAUGAGCUUAUAUGAAGAAAAAGGAUUUCAUAUUUUUCUCUUCCAAGAUAAGAUGUUAACAAGAUUUAUGAUGUUACUAGAAUCAAGAUAGUGAUUAUAACAAUAGGUAUACUUCAUCUUGAUGCUCGGAGUGGUAGAGAUCAGUUGAAUCAAAUCAAGCUAACACACCAUGGCUUCUGCAUUGUCAGAAAGAUGAGGCGUCAAAUCUGACAACAUAGAGCACAAAGAUUUAACAUAUGACUCUGUAUCAUCCAUAGUCUAAGCUUUUAAACUUGGGAAAACUUUAUUUGUGUGGCUCUAUAGUUGAAACUUGAAAGCUUUGUUACUGUACUAAUUCUUUCAUCCAAAUCAAGUAAUCAACCGAACCACAUCAUAACCAAAACGACAGCGUUUAGACACCUCUGAUCUUUCACUAGCUAAUUUAGCUAUGCCAAUGCCAGGCCAAACCGGUACGACUUCUGUGAAUUCAAUUCGUGACCAUGGCCUCGCGUUUGUUAUCGACGACGACACUCAUCACACCGCCGGCUAAUCUCUACAAAUCACCGGCGUAUUUGACGGCGAGAGUUGGGGUGAGAAGGCGAAGGGUUAACGUUAGAGCUCUGAGCGAUGGUUCGCAAGGAGCCGUCGAUGGAACUGUUUACAAAGGUGUUUACGGUCCCUGGACCAUUGAACAAUCCGAUGUCAAAGAGGUGCUUCUCUUCUCUCCUUACGAUUCCUGCUCAAUUCAUACUAACUUCUCUGCUUUUGGGUUCCUUAAAUUUCAGAUAUUGCGAUGUGCUUUGUUCUCAUUGACAUGCAAGUUGAAUCCUUUUGAUAGUUCUAGGCCAAUUUGUUCAUAUGCUCAUAAUCGUAUAGUGUAGAGGUAGCUCAGAAACUAUGGGGUGACUAAGCCUGUUGAACUUACUGUGGAACUUUGUAGUUAAGCCCUGUUUGUUUAGUAGAAGUUUCAAUGGAAGUUUUGAAAGAGUAUCUUCUGUUCUUCAGGUUAUUCUGUACAGAUCAGGACUAGUCACUGCUGCUGCAUCUUUUGUAGCUGCUUCUUCUGCGGCAUUUUUACCAGGAGACUCUUGGUUAAGUGAAAUAAUCAAGCAAAACCAUGACUUGUUUUACUUCGCUGGUGCUAGUGGUUUGGGGCUAUCUCUGUUUCUUAUUCAUAUAUAUGUAACGGAGAUUAAGAGGACUCUUCAAGCUUUGUGGGCACUUGGUUUUGUUGGUUCCUUGGCCACUUACGCAGCCCUUGCCAGACCAGCAGGUGAUAACUUGGUUCAGUAUGUCGUUGAUCAUCCAACUGCUGUGUGGUUUGUUGGUCCCCUUUUCGCCGCUCUCACAGGCCUCGUUUUCAAAGAAGGUAAAAAUCUUGCAUCUGCAUUUGAGGAUAAAAUGUUUUUUCCUGAUAUUUGGAAACAUACCGAUGUUCUUGAUUUGCAUUUUUGUCUGCAGGACUCUGCUACGGGAAACUAGAAGCUGGCCUUCUUACAUUCAUCAUACCUUCGGUUCUUCUUGGUCAUUUGGUAAAGUAGCUUGUUUGAUUAAGAUAUCAUACUUUAGUUACCUUGAAUCAGACUACUUAGAUCAAAUAAGAACUUAUCAGAAGGCCAAUUUAGCUAUAAACUGCUGCAUCGUUUUUCUAAAGAGAAAACUCACAUUUCCUAAAACUGGGAUCUGGUAUUUGUUUAUUUGGCCUUACUUAAACUGCUAUACUGAAUAUGCAGAGUGGUCUGAUGAAUGAUGAGGCAAAACUGGUGUUGCUAGGAACAUGGAUGGCACUCUUUCUAGUAUUUGCUGGAAGAAAAUUCACUCAGCCUAUAAAGGUACACUGUUCCUCAUUGAAGAUUUGCAUAUUCAAGCUUUCGUAGAGGUCUUUCUAUUUACAGAAGUAUCAAAUGUCAUAGUACCAAUAAUCUAUAUUCUGGUUUGAUUUUUUGAAGGAUGAUAUUGGGGAUAAAUCUGUUUUCAUGUUCAUGUCUCUUCCGGAUGACGAAAAGAAGGCUGUAGUUACAAAACUAGAGCAAGAAAAGUUGGGAUAAUACUCUCAAUGAUAGCGGACUGUUUUAAGUAUCUUCAAGAAGAGGUAAAUAUCUUGUAUCCAUAGAUUAUAUAUACUACUGAGGAGAGAUGCUACCAUAAACAGUUUGUAGAUUGUGAUUAGUAGCCUUUAUUGCAAUUUAUGAAUUGACUAUAUUGCUAUCAAAAUCUUCAUGUGGACGAAAAACGAAUUACCAUUCCCUAAUGGAGAGUUGAUACAUCCCAUCUUUUGGCUGUUAUAAUGUAUCAAACCCAGUUCACUCGGACCCUUAUUUGGACUUGAUUUCAGGUUUUAGGUCUGAUCAUCCCCUUGGUUGAUUUGUUUUUAAUAGUUUCCUCGUGUGUAUUGUGAUGGCCCAGCUCAUUUGAUCCCGCCAUAACUUAGGCUUAAUUUUAGGAUUUUAUAUGGUCAUGGAUUUGGUCUCUAGCCACUAUUGGAAACUGCAAAGAAAUGGGGGUCCAAACCUAACUGUGACAAAUGAAAUAUGGUCCAGCUUGGGCAGACCUAUCUAGAACCAGGGCUAGGUUGUCCGCAGGCUUUCAACCCAAAAUCCCUAGUUAUAAGUUGCAUUUCACCGAGGAGACAUGUAUGAGCAUGUUACUAUUGUAUGGCUUAAGUUGUGAACCAAAGAUCUACUAGGGUAGAAAUCUUUUUACUCCAGUGAUGAACCAACGAGCACAUGAAGUCGCUUUCGAGUAGAAACCUACUGGUUAUUCAUUCAUAAGGAAAAUAUUAUUAGCCAUGCUUGGAGGAAGAAAACCAUUGUUACGACUAAUCUCAGUUGAGAUGCAUGAUCCUGAUAUACAAUUAAGAUGCAUGAUCCUGAAAUACAAUUAUAAUUCUCUUUCCUUGGUAGUCGAUGGUUUUGCGUGUUAUUCGGCCAACAACGAUUGCGAUAUUUGUGGGUUUCCGAAUUGGGGAUAGGAAAAUGCUGAGAAAGAGUUGUUAAGUUUGCAAACAAAGAGCGUGAAAUUAGGAACAAGGUUUUUUGUCGUCGAAUGUGAAUCGGGACAAGCAAUUGAAAGACAGAAGGACACACGAGUGGGGUGUUAAAUGCGGUGUAUAGAGUAGGACUAAUAUGGUCCACUCUUAAGACUCAUGUUAUGGCCACUCUCUCUCUUUAGUCUUGUUGCUUUCUGUCUCAAUCUUCUAGGAGUUUUGUCAUUUAUUAGCAUAACUACAAAGGAUCCAAAGUAUGUAUAUAGAUUACAUGGCUAUGUUUGACCAAAAUGUGACAACUAUGAACAAUCAAUAAUUGGCCAAUGUGUUUUUUUUUAUUUUGUUGAGUCUCAUAAACUUCACAAACCAAAUGAUCAAAUAGCUUAACUAUGAGGAAUAGUUAUUAUUGUAUGUUGGAUAAUCUUUCAUGUAAUGUCUACCAAAUCAAGAUAAUCUUUUCUCGUCUUUAGAAGUGGAAAUAUCAUGAGGUCGACAAAAAAAAAAAAAAGAAGUGGAAAUAUGAGACAAGAAAAGCUGGAUAAGAGAGAGAGAGAGAGAGAGAGAGAGAGAGAGAGAGAGAGAGAGAGAGAGAGAGAGAGGAGAGGGAGGUUGAUGAAGAGAAUCCGACCAAAACUGAACGGGGUAAGAGCAAGUGUUAAAAGGAGAGUCCCUACCACCAAUAUGAGGACGAACUCCAAGUUUGCGUGCGGACGAAAUUGGAGGAGUCGUGUCUAAUGCUGCAUCUCAAUUCGUGUGUCUUCUUCUUAUGUGUGGGUCUCUUCUCUCUCUCUCUAUCCUUUUGUCUCUUCUCUCUAUCUCUCUUCCCCUAACCUUUGAAUUCCUUUUUUUCCUCUUUGUUCCCUCCUCCUGCAUUCGUGGCCUUCUUGUAACCUCUCCCUUUACAUUGGACACGCACGGCUCACAUGUGCGUGAUCUCAUUUUUAUUUAUUUCACUUCUUCCGAACAUAUCAGUGAUAGCUUGAUCAUACUGUAGACCAAAUUCGGAACUGAUCUUGAAAUUCGUAUUAUUGCCAGUAGAAACAUCAAAGAUGGUAAAGUAAUUCUUUGUUGUAGAUCCUAUAUGCAUUUUCUCAUGUAUCGUAGACCUAUUCCGAAAAUCUUAUUCCAUACACAUUAUAGAGAGACGCAGUCAUAAUUUUCUUACCUCUUCAAGUUUCUUUUUGAUCACUUUAUUGUACGUGGUAGACCAAAUUCCAAACUGAUCUUGAAUAUAAUUCGUCUUGCCAAAUGUUGAUGUCAUUUCCUAUGCAUAAAAUAUAUACUCAAAAACGUAAUGAAACAACCGUCCAAUUGUAAUAUUGAUCUCAACAAAACAUUUACCCUUAACAAUGUACAGUUUUUUUUGCGUUUGCAUGUGUGUAUAUCAACGUCAUAUAUAUUCAGCAUCUUCUCUGACUAAAUUUGUAAGAUUAUUAUUGAUGAGUCAUAUCUAUUAAACCUUGCCUAAUGGUGUGACUUAUACCCAACUGUCUACUAAAGAUUAGCUUUCUAUCAAUUUUUGUUUCCAAAAAAAAAAGCAAAAAACUAUAGGUUACGACUUACAAAUGUGGAACGUAAACGUUAAUGAACUAUUUUCGGAAAAGACUACUGUACGUAGAUCAAUAUAUGCCUAACGCCUAAGUUUGUCUCCAACCUAGUUUCUUUAGGGUCUAAUCAAAACUAUUGUGGAUAGAUUCAUAUUACAAUGAAGAAAUGCAUUAUUUGAAUCUGUCAUUAAUUUGACAAUACGUGCAAUAUAUAUAUUUUCCAGACUUACAUGCAAUGAAUAGUUAACAUAUCUUUAACUUAUAUAUUCGAGAAAAAGAAAACAGACAAGAAUAUAUGGGGUUGCAAUGGUUUUGUGUUGGUAGCGAGACGAAAACGACAGCGUCUUUGUUCUGGAGAGCGAUACGGAAAGUAACAUGACAGGACAGUUGAGAAGAACUCAUCGUUUUCUCUUAAGUGAACAGUAAAGUAUGUUCCCUUUUUUCUUUCUUUUGCUUUAAUAUUUUUGGUUGGGGGGUCAUAGAUCUGUCUCUUUUACCACUCCCAUUUACUCCAUAUAAAACAACACAUCCAAGUCUUGUCGGUUUACGUACUCGAAAUAACUCCCACAUUAUAUAACCAUGCUCUAAAAUUUAUUUUACCAUGCUUUAGAGUAGAGUCAUCGCUUACGAUCGAUGAAAUCUUGAAACAAGAAGUGGGUGGGCAUGUAUGCCAUAUUAUAGAAUGAGGAGGAGUGGAUGUGUGCAUAUUAAUUAGCUAUAUUACCUGUUUUGAUUUUAUAUACAUCUCAUAUUCUCAUGUUUCGACAUUUUGGGUAUGUGGAUAUUUGAACGGUUUCAGAUAGAUAUUUUUCCUGAUUUGUUCCAAAGUUUUGGGUAUCCAUCGGAACUAUGGAUGCUGAUACAAGUGGUUUACAAACAAAAACGGUAUAAAUUUAUAAACUAGUAUAAAUACUUUUUAAGAAAUUAUCAUCUUCUUUUUUUCUUUGUUCAUGAUAGUUAUAAGAAAUUUUAACAAAUUUAUGGUUUUGUAUAAAAUCGAUACAUGUUUCAUACGAAUAUAUCAGAAAAUAUAUUCAUCUAAUCAGAUUUUAGAUUUAUAGUAGAUUCCACUUUUUCAUAUUUACACAAAUCGUUUUUUCUACAAUAACUUUUUCCGGUUUUAACUGAAUAUUUUUAAAAGUUAUAAACUUAUCCGGAAAAAAUAAAGCCUGUUUCGAAUUAAAAAAAUUUAAGGCUAAAAAUCUUUUCGAGAGCCAAAAUUAAACAUAUAUACAUUAAAUGUAAAAGAUUUACUUCAUUAGUAGCCCUACCAAAUAGUCAUUUUGUUUGACGUCUAUUUAACCAUUUCGUUAAAAUCAUGAUUAAAAAAUGGAUUGUGAUGUGAAUAGUUGAUAAAAAGAAUUUAUGUUUUCUAGUAUUAUGUAUAAUGAUUCCAUAGGACUAUACAUCGGUUAUUGUUGUUAGAAUAUUGUUAAUUUUUUCUAUUCUGCAGUUUACAUUACAAUACUAUUGAGGCACAUGCUUUACUACAAUUAUGUUUAACCUACUUUGAGCUGAAAACAAAUCCUAGACUUGUUUAAAUGUCAACACUUAGAAGAAAUUAGCCAAUGCUUUUGCAUAAAAUAACUUAUAGCAAUUUCAUAACCAAACUUUUUAUGUGGUUUGAAUUCAACUUCAAGACUUUGUUGUAAAACCAACGAUGCAUUUAUAUAGAGUAUUUUCAAGAUUUUGGGAGAACAAGAACAAUAUGGAAGCGUUGACACGAGAGAAAGAGUUGAGAAUAUGCAAAACAUAAACAAAAAAAAUUUAUGAUGUGAGAAAGAAAUGUGGAUCUCAAUGAUCGAUGUUGCUGUGUGUUGGCUGGCAUAUUAAACCAUCACCAUCUUCAUGUGCAUCAAUACGUCACUCUUCACCUCUCUAUCCAAUUAUUUCAGUCUCCUCUCCUUUUACUAUCUUUUUUUUUAUCUUGUAUAAAUAAACUGAAUAUUUCAUUGAAAGAAAAGAAAGAAAGACGUGAGUUUAUGUAAAGGGUUUGGUACAAUUUUGUACUAUAAAAGAUUAAUGAAUUUACUAACAAAUUAAGAUGGAAUUUGUUUUUUUGUUGUUUUUUUCGAAAAGAGAGGGAGACAGAAAAAAAAAAAAGAUAAAAGAAAGAGACACAAAAAGUAUACAUUCACAAAAUGAGAGGACUUUGCUGAAAGUUUGUUACAAAGGAGACAAAAGAGCAAAAAGAAAAAAACACAAAAUAAUUGAAGUGAAAGAAAAUAAAACACCAAUUAGCAACUUAACAAAUGAGGAUCUUAUACUUAAAAUCAAGACUUUAAGAUCAUAUAUUAAAGAUGAAAAAUUUCUAAGAAUCUAAACCAAGUGGUUCCCAUGUAGGAACUCUCUUACUGAAGAACCUCCCAAUAACUCUGGAAUCAAGAAUCUCAAGAGCUCCUCCUGAUUUAACACAUCUUGGUGUCUUGUACUGGUUCAAUGAUGAUCCUUGUGAGACACAAAAAUCCAUUAACGAGUCGAACGUUCCCAAACUCACCACUCUUAUCUCCAGUGGCCCUAUCGAUUUAUCUCUGUUCCUGCAUCUUCUGUACACAUAAUCCAAACAAUCCUCAACCUCAGAGCAACAAUCCUCCAUUGUCUUGUCGUCUAGCUUUGGUGGGUCGUUGCUGUAACGUGGCUUUAGCUCCCAGAAGAGCACGUAAUGCCCUGGGAUUGAUGACGUGUCCGCAUAGCUUGUGUACUCCAUGAGUAAGAGGCUUGAAGGCUGUUGGAGAUGGUUGAGUUUGGCUUGUGUCACCGCGUUUAGUAGAUCUUCCUCGCUUGUUUUGUCAGUGUCGAUGCUUAGUACGACGUUUCUUCGCUGCACGAAACGGAACUGAGGCGCUUUGUUGUGGAAACCGGUCACUUUUAAAAUAUCACCAACUCUGUACCUGUAUAAACCUAAACAAAAAAACAAACACAUAUGUUACUUGUGUCACAAGUUAACUACUCUUUUUAGUAAUCCCAUAUCAGACCUAGAAUAAUAUAGAGCCGUACUGACCUGUGAAUGUAGUAAUGACAAUUUCGUAGUAUCUACCGACUUCAACAUUAACAAGAUCGACGAUAAGAUCUUCCUUGAGAGCAUCCUCGUCAUCGGUGUUAGAAUGCGAGGCAAAGUGAAUCUCUUCGUGGGAUUUGUCGUCAACGGGCAAGAACUCGAAGUAAGCCAUGUUAGGAAGAAGCGUAUAGGAAACAUCGGCAGGAUCACACAACGGAUUUAGGUUGAUACCAAAGUAGCACUCAGAGGAAGCAUACAUCGUUGAAACCAACGGUAAACCUCCGCUAUAAAACUCUAGUGUCGGGAUGUAUUGAGCCAUGGAACCCGUCACAAUCACUUCAACAUACUUAGCCUUAGGCCACAGCCUCCUCAAGAUUCCUUCCCACGACUUCUCAGCACACUUACUCUCAAUCUCAUCAGCCAAUUCUUGAUUUGGACCAUCAAGGAUCGACAAGACCGAGUCUCUGCAGGCUGAGUCAGUGAUCCAGCUAGUGACAGUGCCGGUUCUAAUAUCUGCGCAAAGCUCUUUGUAAUGAUCCUCCAAAAACUUGACCGCUCGAAGAAAGGCAGACGCAAAGACAGCUCCGACUCUUAGGACAUGAGAUCGCUGGACUAGACCGCAGAGAAGCUGACAGUACAUGCUCUGUUUGCUGUCUUGACAAAGAAUGGUCUGGUCAGGGCUAGUGUAGACGUUGUACUUGUUGAAUGGUCUGUUCCUAAAAUGUUGACUUUUGUAGUAGCUGGUCAAAACCGGACGGGCCAUUAGACCUGAAAGAGUCUUGAUCUCUGGUUUUAUGAAUAGAAGAUACAUCCCUUUUCCUUCAUCUAGCCCGUUCACAUAUCUGCAAUUUCAUUUAUGUAACACAAUCCAUUAGCCAAAAAGCUAUAUCUUCACUAUUUCAUUAGUUCCACUAAAGAACACAAAUUAAUUUACAUAAUUUAUAUUUUGCCAUCUGUUAUUUUUCAAUCUACAAAGAAAAAGUCGCUUUAUUUGCUAAAAUUUUGAACUAAAUAAAAAUGAAAGAAUUGUGUUUUAUAAAAUAAUUUUUUUCGUGUAUAUAUGUUUAUAAAAAAUAUAUAUAUAUAACAAGUAUCAUGGAUUAAACGCGCUAAAAAAAAUAAACGAGACUAAUUUAUUUUAUUUUUAACUUUAAAUUAUACUUUGUAAAUAAGCAAGAUAUAUGUAAAGAAAAACUAGUGUAAUAUGUAUUACUUGUUCAUGAUAGGCACAAGCAUGCUGUAGAAAAAUGUCUUCCUCUCCAAUUCUUCAGCUGUAGAAGGCAUCAGCUUAGGUUUUCCUGCAGAAGUCCCCGAGCUGCAUAUCCAAAUAUCAUAACUCAAAUAAAUAAGCAAAUGUAACAAAAACUGUUUUUGUAAAUCUUUUGGUCAAAAUUUAACUAUACUAUACUAUGUUUUGUACCUAGUGAGGAGCUCUGUGAUGGGCUGAGCAGAGACGAUAUCUGAGGAUUCUCCAUCGGCGAUUCGUUGGAUGAAAGGCUUUAUGUCGUCGUAAUUCACCACAGGGACUUUGUUUUUGAAGGUUUGUAGAUUCUUGUCGGAUUCUCCGUGGAGAAAUGCUCGGAGAUAUUGAGUUCCACAGUUUUGAGAGAGUAUUUGGUGGAGAACUUGUUGCUGAAUUGCCUCUGCAUUUGUUGUUAGAUCCUCUAGAAGCUUGAGACCAGCUUCUGUAUCAUUUGGGUCGUAACUUGGUAUCAUUUUCUUGAAAGCAGACACAAACAAGGUUUAUUGUUUGUGUUGCGCAAUGAUGAGUUCCAAAACAAGAAAGAAAAAAGAGAGAGACAGAGAGAGUCUUUAGUUUUUCUUUUCUUUUCUUCUUCUUAUAAUUGUGUUGUGGGGAGAAGAAGAUGAAUCACUUCUUCUCUGUUCUUGAAGGUGUUGGGUUGGUGGUAUGAGAAGAAGGAUGAAGAAAUGGUUAUAUAAUAAAUUGGGAAAUGAUGAAAUAAUUAUUAGAAAAUAUAAAUAUAUUUGAGAGGUCCUACAACACACAUGGCCUUGUCUAGUUAGAAUGAAGCUAUUGUUGGUCAAUAUUACCUGUGCAGGCUUUCUCUAGCUAUUACAUUUUUUUUUUAUUAUAAAUGUUAUUGUUUUUGUUUUAAUAGUAUCAUAUCACAUAUUUGUUUAUUAUGUUGUUUAAUCCUCCAAUCAAGCUCUUUCUUUAUGAUCCGUUGAAUAAUAUCAAUCCAAUCAUAUUCACAAGAUUUGCAUAUGUCUGCAAAAAGAUAUACUCACUUGGUCUUCACUUAUAUAUAUAUACUCAUCUAAUAAUAUUAUUGGCUCUUAGAUUUUAUUUAGGAACUACUUGAAUUCUUCACAUGCAAAAUUUUCGAAAAAAGUAUAUACUAAAAAGAAGUAUGAUUGCUUCACUUAACAGAUUAUAUAUAUAUAUAUAUAUAUAUAUAUAUAUAGCUAUGAAGUUUUCAUUAUGAGCUUUUUUAUAUAUGUCCCUUAGUUCAUUUUGCAUGUUGUUUCUUAACCUAUAUAAAUGCAUUACAAAACUCUUAUUCAAAUUUCACAGACAUAUGUUAAUUCAAAUGUCAUCUAUAUAUACAUAUAUAUAUAUAUAUAAAUAUUGGCCUCAUUUAUGUGCGAUAAUUGGACUCCAUAUAAAAUAAUCUCAAGUUUGACUUAUGGCAAUCAAGAUUAAGAGAGAGAGAGAGAGAGAGAAGGAUUGUUAAUUAAGAUUGUUAAAUCUCUUGGAUAUGAUAAAAGUCAUCAUCUUGGUGAUGCAGAUCCAAAUGCAUAUGAUAGGGUCGUUACGUUUAUAUAUUUAUCUAUAUAAUUACAUAUAUUAUAAAUAGACCAAUUGACUAAUUAACCAUAUAUGAUGAAAAUUACAGCAUAAAAUAACAUGCAACCAACUUAAUUUCAAUCAAGAAAACUUAUAAUAACAUGGAAAAAUUAGGAUUAGGUUAAUGUAUAUGUCUUAGUGGUGACGAGGAAACAGAUGUGAACAAAGAGAAGAAGCGUGAGAGAGAUGUGUUUGGAGAAGAAGAUGAUAUAUUAAUCUUUCUUUCUUUCUUUCUUUUUUGUUCUCGUGAACAAAUUUUAUUCAAAUACGUUAUGUCAUACACAUUUUAUUUUAGGCAUGUUCCGUCCCAUUCCUUUGUUUUAGGCUUUUUCUUUUGCUUCCUUUGUUUUGGUUAGUUAGUCGUUCAAUGAUAAAAAAUUAUAAUAAAAACUUGUCGUUAACAUGAAUUAAGUUGAUUUGAUCAAACUUAUAAGAUUUUUAGUCAUUUUCGACCACGUAUUAUUUUCUUUAUAUUUUCAUUAUUAUAUAUUAUUAAUGGUAAUAGAAUUAAAUAAUGAAGGUAUGAAUCGCGUUUAGGAUUUCUUAAGAAACGGGCCUAAACUCAUCAAAUUUUUGUUUGUAUUUUUCUUUCUAUAAUUAGUUUUAGGAGUUUAUUAUAUAAAACAACCCAAAUCACGCAUCUUUUCUCUCUGAAUAGAACAAUGAAGGAGAACUAGUGUUAAUUCAUUUUGGUCCCUAAAUAAGCAUACAUACAUUGUGGAUCUUAAAUUUGCAGAGUGGUCGACCUUACAUGCAUGUUUCACACAUUUCUCCUAAUCCCAUUGGUUGCGUCGCAUAAAAUAAAUAAUUUUAUAAAUCAAUAAAGCUAAUAAACAUAGAUUAUAUAUAUUUCUCAUUAGAAGUUUGAACUAUGGAGUUAUACGAGUUGAGUAGUAUAGCUGCGGGUAAGAAUAUAAUUUCCAUAAAAAAGGUAUAUUGAUUUUUGAAUUCUAGAAAUAAAUAUGAGAUAUUUUUUAGUUUUUAACAAAACUAUUCCACUCACACGGAUGCGAGAGCGAGACUCGUUAAAGUUGGCAUAUUUCCUUCCACAAAUGUAUAGACCGGUCCACAAAAGUUUGGGGAGAGAUGCAGCUCAUACGCAAUCUCUAAGACCGACCAGCUUUAAAGACAUGCACUCUUUUGUAUAUUUUUCUAACCUUGCUAUAUUUAUAAAGUAAUAUCAAACUCUUGAUAUUGUUGUGGCAAACAAAAAAAAGAUUGUCGAAAUCUUUUGUCCCUUCCGGAUAUAUCCAACAAAAUUUUGCGAGACUCUUAAGCAAAGAUGAUACAAAUUAAGUGAGAUAUUGUCCAAAUAUUUUUUAGUUUAUCCAGUUAUUAUACAUAUUGUAGUUCUUUGUUCUUUUUUUUUUUUGUAAUAAGAUUUUCCGAGACGCAACACUCUCUUUUUAGUUCCUUUAUGUCGUUUUAGGGCAAAGCAUCCCAAAUGUAAAUUUGAUACGGAUCACUGCUUUGCAAGUUGCAAGUAGUAGUUUCGAACCUUUGAGUAUCGUCUGAUGUCUUGUCUUAUUGUGUAGCAGUAAACUACUUUAAACACUUUGAUGUAUGAUAUAUAUACAUGCCCACAAAAUAUCUAGCUCUUUGGAAAGAGGUUGAUUCUUUGGUAUCUUAUUUUCAAAUCUUGCUAGAGAUGGAUGAUUUUAGCCUUAAAACGUAACAUAUAAUUAUGAGAGAGUACAUUAUAAUAUGCUAAUUUUCGGGUAAAGGAAGCUAAGGUUAUAAGCCAAAACGCAAGAACUUCAUGCAAAUUAACAAGAAACAAAACAGGAGAAAAUAUAUUUCUUGUUCCAACUUUCAAUACUUUAUUCGGAUAUAUAUGUCAACGUACGGGAUUCUAAGCAUAUUCAUUGGAAACAACAGUCAUGGUAGAAGUUAAAGGACCAAACGUUGGCUGUAACGUAAGUCAUAUAUACACACUUAUUAAAGUAUGUUAUCAAGUCAACAACAAGCUUGAGCCUGAAAAAGCUAAGGUUAAGAUAAGUUUUGGGUUGCCAGGUACGUACACUAUAUAUUAAACGUUUAGUGUUCGUUUAAAUAUUGUUAGUAUAGUCGUAUAGUUGUUAAGAACAUAUUCCUUUGAAUUACCCACCACUUGAAAAUGAAUACACGAAAGGGAAAUAAGAAAGAAAAAACUGCUGACGCAGAGCUGAACGUUUAAAUUCCAGACUAUGGCUGCUCGUUUUGAGAUUCUAGAGAUUUCCAUAUAGUAUAUCAAGGUCCUAGAGAAACUGUUUGCUUUUUAGACAAAUUCUUAUUUUGUUAACAACUAGCUUGUAAUAUUCUUCUAGCUAGACCUAAUGGCCUAGUUAACCCCAGAUGAUUCGAACUCAUGAUUCCAAAGAGAAGAUCGCUGAUGGCUAUAGCCUUCUCGCUUAGAUGCUCUUGGUGUUUUAAGUAUAGUUCCUUAUUUGUCAGUGGUGUAAUAGCUAAAAUGGGAGUGUCAUAUUUGAGACAGUAACAAGAAUCGAAUCAGGGAUAUGGUGGAGAAUUAGCAAGGGACCACUAGCCCACGUGCUCUUCCCCUAAGUAUAGUUUAAUAUUGAAAAAAAAUGAGAUAAAAUAAUAUCGUAUAAACUAUAAACAUAACAAAAAAAAAAAGAGAAAGAAACAAUCAACAGCGUAAUAAGACAAAAAAUAGGUCAAACAUAAUUACGAGCUUUGCAAUUAUUGUUCUUUUGGUGGACUGCUUCAAACCAAUACGCACAACACAAUUACUUCUCAUGGACUGGGAUAAGGUAUUUAAAUCGAGAUGUUAAAUCGUGCAUUACUCCUCCUGAUACACGACAGAACCAUAAGAGAAAAUAUACGUAAAAGAAAAUUUCAGAUUAAUGCCAAUAAAAAGAAAAAGAAGAAACAAAAACAUUGAGAAAAUACAACAUAAAUUGAGAAACUUGAUUAGAAAAAAAAAAUGUUUACAUCUUAGAUUACUAAAAUAUGAUGAAAACUAGUCUUAAGUUUAUGGGGAUUGAUUCGAUAUAUAUAUAUAUAUAUAUAUAUAUAUACUAGUACUAGUAUUUGCUCUACUUGUUUUCAGAGCCUGUCUUUAGGCAUAUGCAAGAUCGAAGUGCCUUGUUGAACCAACAUAAAAAUUAGUGUGUAAUAUAAGAGUUCACGAAACAAAAUAUCUCGAAAUUCUCUUAUAUAUAAUGAAUUAAGAUCCAUACUACAAAAAUUGAAGGGGACCAUAAUCAUUUUACUAUUUUUGAGUUGGCCCUGCUUGUAUUUAAUGGGUAUUGAUUUGGUUUACAUGACUUCAAAACCAGUCUUUGGUCUACUUUAAUUCAAACAAAGUGUAGCCGUGUGUGAGAGUUACUUACGAAUCUCAAAUUUCAAGAGUAAUUAGUUACCUACCACUCUCAAAAGUUUAAGAACUAAGUCAGAGUAUCAUCUAUUUCCCAAACUUAUGUUUUGAUAUUUCUUGGGUAUGUAUGUAAACACAUAACUUAUCUAUUUCAAUAUUUUUUUGCGGUAUCAUGGAAAAUAAAGUCUAUUUCUAAAAAUAUUAAAAGAAAACUACAUUUUCUAAAGUCGUUGAACAAGACUUUGUUUCCUUUCAAGAAACAAAUAUUUAUCUAGAAAUUCACAAAUUUUAUUUGUAUGUUGCAUGCAUUCUUGUCUUCCAAAAGUACCUUCCCACUUUCCUUCAAAAUUAAUCAACAAAUUGACGUCUUUUUUUGUAAAAGUUAAUUUGAGAUUAUUAUCUUUAAUUUAUUUUGAUAAAAAGUUUGAGAUCGUUAUCAUCAAACCAAAAUCAAAUUAAGACUAAGAGAUAAUAUCAUAAUAAUUUGGGGAUGAUUCUACCUCAUCAUUCUAAUAUUUAUAAGAACGCAAACCUACUUUAAAGUGAAAACUUCUAGUAGGCAACUUAAAUUAAUGGUAUACACAUUAACAAAGUAGAAUGAGUUGCUUGGAAAAGAAGAGACUAAUAUGAUCUAUAUAUAUUUAGUACUAAUAAUUAAUAGCAAUAUGCACAUCACCGAUCCCAAAGUGAAUAUAAUUAGUUUUGUGUAAAGAGUUGUUUGGUUUUUGGUAAACGCCUUGAAGGUGAAAAGGGACUUAGUAUUAAUUAAAUUGUAGAUUAGGACAUUUGUUCAGGGAUUUGCUUAGAUUUGGUCUUUUGAAGUCUUUUAUUGCUCAGAUUAACAUAAAGUAAAAUGCAAAAGCAAGUGUCUCUAUGAGGGCACAUGUAGUCUUGAAAUGAGGAGAGGAAUUAGGAGCGAAAAAAGGAUGGUUUUAAAAAGUAUAGCAUAGUGUUUUUUAUAUACAUUAUCAUCUCAUCUUAAUCAUAGUGAUUAUAGCUCAAGCGUAUAUAAAGAGAAUAAGCCAUGCGUAACAUUUAAGUGACCUAUACAGACAAUAAACACAAACCAUAGCCGUCUGCCCAACUUAGAAAACACAAUUUAGAGCCAAAGAACUGUAUUUGUAAUGUCACACCCAACGAAAGACAUGAAAAUAAAAGAUGCAUAUGUGUACUACUAUUUUCGAUGGGCAAUCGAAAAAACUGAUCAAGAUCUGAGAUAAUGAAUGAUGAGUUGAAAGACAUGAUUCAAAAAUGAGGUAGUUGAGGACUGGGUCUCAAUAUUUGAAAUUCACAGAAGUUUCGGGUUAGAUUCCACUUCGAACGUCAAACUCGAGUCACGUGUGGCCACUUGGACUUUGGUCUGUAUAAUUUGUCAGAGUUGGGUUUGGAAACUUGCUCACCUCGGAUUAGCUACCUGACCAAACACCAGUGACAAUAAAAGAAGUGUCAAAGGGAAGAAGUGGUAAGAUAGUAAGAUACGACAUGGUUCAAAGGACUAGUUUUAUUGGCCUUAUGACUCGAAUAAAUAAGAGCUUAACUAAGGAGUUCACAUAAAUAAAUGUUUGUUGUACCAAUCAAAAUUCCCCCUUAUAUAUGAAUAAUUUUCAGUGGUAACAAAACCAAUCCGAUUCAUAUACUUCGUCGAACCUAAUUGUCUACCAACCAGAAUCUAAGAUCAAAACUACACUUUCAACUUGAUGCGAUAUAACCAAAUCGUAAGUACCAACCUUGGGUUAACAAUAAAUUUACCGAACUUUCAAGAAUUCGAGGUCUAUCAUUUCAUUGAUUUCGCUUAGAAAAAGUAAGUAAAAAUUUAUGGAAAAAAUUGAAAAUAUAUGUCUAUUACUUGAAAAUAUAUGUCUAUUACUUGAAAAUAUAAUCCAUAUAUAUGAAUGCUAAACUAUUUCUUUCGAAAAUUAAGUGUGGUCAAAUUUAUAAUUAUAAUAAUGUUAGGUACCUAAAUAUAUUAGGACUAUCUUCGAUUUUACCCAAUUGAAUGGGUCCAGUUAUGUUUCUUUGUUGGUCAAAAGCCACGUAUCACACACUUUAGUCAAAAACUGUUUGUGAUUAACAUCCUAAUUUAUCGGUAAUACUUACAACGGCCUCUCGCUUAAUUGAAAACUCCAUUAUUAACUAAUAAAUGUGUUAAGAACCUCCGGAUAAAUCUAACACUAAAUAUGUUUUUGUUUCCUCAUGACACUUGAUCCAAGUGGUUCAAACACUAAACUAAUUCAAUCGGGUCAAACAAAGUUCCGACAAGUAGACUAUAAAAAAUGUUGCAUAAUGCAGAAACCAAUUAUUUCUCUUAGGACGUAGUGACCACUGACCAGUGACCAAUAAUUAGUUGGGCAAUGUUUUUAAAAACAAAAUGUGGCAUAAGUUUAAGGUUAUUUAGUCGUUUGCCCAUGCGAUAUCUCCAUUCCAUCAUGAAAAGAUAAGAAGAAAAUAAUCAAAAGUGGGUACAAAAAUAAUUUUUAUUUUUUUUUAUAUAAAUCGUAUUAAUUAGUUUGUCUUCUAACGAGACGAAAAAUAACUAUAAAAGAAUAGUAAUCUAGAAUUAGGUUGCAUGUGAAAAGAAAUAUAAUUUGGUUGACGAGAUGUAAUAGAACAUGUUGGUUUCGGUUGGCCUUUUAACAUCUCAAAACCACAAAUUAAUAAACAUUGCAAAGUUAUAGACAAAACCAUGCCAUAGAUUAUUAUAUUUGCAGAGCUUAAGUUUUGUCACUAUGCAAAACAAAGUUAGGCAAGAUUAGGACUUUUCCAGUACUCUAGACUUUAUCGGCAGUUGUUUAACUUGUUACACUUAUCUUGAGUCUCGACACACGGUAAAGGUACGAACCGACGAGUGAUGAGUGACCCGGUGAAACUAUUUCUUUCCUUUUCUUAUUAAAUACUAGAAAGUUGCCCACGCGAUGCGUGGGUUAUAUAUGAAAUAUUANNNNNNNNNNNNNNNNNNNNNNNNNNNNNNNNNNNNNNNNNNNNNNNNNNNNNNNNNNNNNNNNNNNNNNNNNNNNNNNNNNNNNNNNNNNNNNNNNNNNNNNNNNNNNNNNNNNNNNNNNNNNNNNNNNNNNNNNNNNNNNNNNNNNNNNNNNNNNNNNNNNNNNNNNNNNNNNNNNNNNNNNNNNNNNNNNNNNNNNNNNNNNNNNNNNNNNNNNNNNNNNNNNNNNNNNNNNNNNNNNNNNNNNNNNNNNNNNNNNNNNNNNNNNNNNNNNNNNNNNNNNNNNNNNNNNNNNNNNNNNNNNNNNNNNNNNNNNNNNNNNNNNNNNNNNNNNNNNNNNNNNNNNNNNNNNNNNNNNNNNNNNNNNNNNNNNNNNNNNNNNNNNNNNNNNNNNNNNNNNNNNNNNNNNNNNNNNNNNNNNNNNNNNNNNNNNNNNNNNNNNNNNNNNNNNNNNNNNNNNNNNNNNNNNNNNNNNNNNNNNNNNNNNNNNNNNNNNNNNNNNNNNNNNNNNNNNNNNNNNNNNNNNNNNNNNNNNNNNNNNNNNNNNNNNNNNNNNNNNNNNNNNNNNNNNNNNNNNNNNNNNNNNNNNNNNNNNNNNNNNNNNNNNNNNNNNNNNNNNNNNNNNNNNNNNNNNNNNNNNNNNNNNNNNNNNNNNNNNNNNNNNNNNNNNNNNNNNNNNNNNNNNNNNNNNNNNNNNNNNNNNNNNNNNNNNNNNNNNNNNNNNNNNNNNNNNNNNNNNNNNNNNNNNNNNNNNNNNNNNNNNNNNNNNNNNNNNNNNNNNNNNNNNNNNNNNNNNNNNNNNNNNNNNNNNNNNNNNNNNNNNNNNNNNNNNNNNNNNNNNNNNNNNNNNNNNNNNNNNNNNNNNNNNNNNNNNNNNNNNNNNNNNNNNNNNNNNNNNNNNNNNNNNNNNNNNNNNNNNNNNNNNNNNNNNNNNNNNNNNNNNNNNNNNNNNNNNNNNNNNNNNNNNNNNNNNNNNNNNNNNNNNNNNNNNNNNNNNNNNNNNNNNNNNNNNNNNNNNNNNNNNNNNNNNNNNNNNNNNNNNNNNNNNNNNNNNNNNNNNNNNNNNNNNNNNNNNNNNNNNNNNNNNNNNNNNNNNNNNNNNNNNNNNNNNNNNNNNNNNNNNNNNNNNNNNNNNNNNNNNNNNNNNNNNNNNNNNNNNNNNNNNNNNNNNNNNNNNNNNNNNNNNNNNNNNNNNNNNNNNNNNNNNNNNNNNNNNNNNNNNNNNNNNNNNNNNNNNNNNNNNNNNNNNNNNNNNNNNNNNNNNNNNNNNNNNNNNNNNNNNNNNNNNNNNNNNNNNNNNNNNNNNNNNNNNNNNNNNNNNNNNNNNNNNNNNNNNNNNNNNNNNNNNNNNNNNNNNNNNNNNNNNNNNNNNNNNNNNNNNNNNNNNNNNNNNNNNNNNNNNNNNNNNNNNNNNNNNNNNNNNNNNNNNNNNNNNNNNNNNNNNNNNNNNNNNNNNNNNNNNNNNNNNNNNNNNNNNNNNNNNNNNNNNNNNNNNNNNNNNNNNNNNNNNNNNNNNNNNNNNNNNNNNNNNNNNNNNNNNNNNNNNNNNNNNNNNNNNNNNNNNNNNNNNNNNNNNNNNNNNNNNNNNNNNNNNNNNNNNNNNNNNNNNNNNNNNNNNNNNNNNNNNNNNNNNNNNNNNNNNNNNNNNNNNNNNNNNNNNNNNNNNNNNNNNNNNNNNNNNNNNNNNNNNNNNNNNNNNNNNNNNNNNNNNNNNNNNNNNNNNNNNNNNNNNNNNNNNNNNNNNNNNNNNNNNNNNNNNNNNNNNNNNNNNNNNNNNNNNNNNNNNNNNNNNNNNNNNNNNNNNNNNNNNNNNNNNNNNNNNNNNNNNNNNNNNNNNNNNNNNNNNNNNNNNNNNNNNNNNNNNNNNNNNNNNNNNNNNNNNNNNNNNNNNNNNNNNNNNNNNNNNNNNNNNNNNNNNNNNNNNNNNNNNNNNNNNNNNNNNNNNNNNNNNNNNNNNNNNNNNNNNNNNNNNNNNNNNNNNNNNNNNNNNNNNNNNNNNNNNNNNNNNNNNNNNNNNNNNNNNNNNNNNNNNNNNNNNNNNNNNNNNNNNNNNNNNNNNNNNNNNNNNNNNNNNNNNNNNNNNNNNNNNNNNNNNNNNNNNNNNNNNNNNNNNNNNNNNNNNNNNNNNNNNNNNNNNNNNNNNNNNNNNNNNNNNNNNNNNNNNNNNNNNNNNNNNNNNNNNNNNNNNNNNNNNNNNNNNNNNNNNNNNNNNNNNNNNNNNNNNNNNNNNNNNNNNNNNNNNNNNNNNNNNNNNNNNNNNNNNNNNNNNNNNNNNNNNNNNNNNNNNNNNNNNNNNNNNNNNNNNNNNNNNNNNNNNNNNNNNNNNNNNNNNNNNNNNNNNNNNNNNNNNNNNNNNNNNNNNNNNNNNNNNNNNNNNNNNNNNNNNNNNNNNNNNNNNNNNNNNNNNNNNNNNNNNNNNNNNNNNNNNNNNNNNNNNNNNNNNNNNNNNNNNNNNNNNNNNNNNNNNNNNNNNNNNNNNNNNNNNNNNNNNNNNNNNNNNNNNNNNNNNNNNNNNNNNNNNNNNNNNNNNNNNNNNNNNNNNNNNNNNNNNNNNNNNNNNNNNNNNNNNNNNNNNNNNNNNNNNNNNNNNNNNNNNNNNNNNNNNNNNNNNNNNNNNNNNNNNNNNNNNNNNNNNNNNNNNNNNNNNNNNNNNNNNNNNNNNNNNNNNNNNNNNNNNNNNNNNNNNNNNNNNNNNNNNNNNNNNNNNNNNNNNNNNNNNNNNNNNNNNNNNNNNNNNNNNNNNNNNNNNNNNNNNNNNNNNNNNNNNNNNNNNNNNNNNNNNNNNNNNNNNNNNNNNNNNNNNNNNNNNNNNNNNNNNNNNNNNNNNNNNNNNNNNNNNNNNNNNNNNNNNNNNNNNNNNNNNNNNNNNNNNNNNNNNNNNNNNNNNNNNNNNNNNNNNNNNNNNNNNNNNNNNNNNNNNNNNNNNNNNNNNNNNNNNNNNNNNNNNNNNNNNNNNNNNNNNNNNNNNNNNNNNNNNNNNNNNNNNNNNNNNNNNNNNNNNNNNNNNNNNNNNNNNNNNNNNNNNNNNNNNNNNNNNNNNNNNNNNNNNNNNNNNNNNNNNNNNNNNNNNNNNNNNNNNNNNNNNNNNNNNNNNNNNNNNNNNNNNNNNNNNNNNNNNNNNNNNNNNNNNNNNNNNNNNNNNNNNNNNNNNNNNNNNNNNNNNNNNNNNNNNNNNNNNNNNNNNNNNNNNNNNNNNNNNNNNNNNNNNNNNNNNNNNNNNNNNNNNNNNNNNNNNNNNNNNNNNNNNNNNNNNNNNUUGUGAGGCAAAGUUAAGAAAAAACCUUGUCUUAUUAUAUAAGAUAUAAAAAAAACUAGAUGUACAGGUCUACAAUCACAUUCACACAUGGUUAGAGUCUAGAGAGACGAGACGACCAGCCAAAACUUUCAAGCUCUUCUGACUGUACAAUCUUCAAAAACUAUACUAAUCAUGUCUAAAAUGACUAUACUGAUAAUGUCUAACAGGCCUCGCUAAGCCAGCUUUUGACAUGUUACGAUUAUAUAUUUUACAUCAUCAGUUCCUCUUGCUAAGUCAGUUUUAUACGUCUUGUAAUACAGCUUUUAUUUAUUCCCAGCGUCUGCAUCUUCAUAUUUUUUAUUUUUGUUUACGUUCACUCAGUUUUGUUAGAAAAACAUGGAAAAAAAACCCAUAAUCAGAGUCCAGGCGAGUAAGCAAAAUUCUCUUGUUGGGCCCAAACACUCAGGCCCAUUUUGGACUCUUACCAUUUUUGUCAUUCUAUAAUUAUCCGAAGCCACAUGCAUGUCGUUUUUAUGAUCCAAAAACGACUCGACUUUUUUUUGUUUUUUUAAUUAAAAUUAUUAGUCAUAAAUUAAAAAAUCCAGAGUGUAUAACUGUACAUUGGGAAAAAGCGAAACGUUUCUUACCUUUUUCUACUCCUUCCAAUCAAAAUUGCUGAAAUUUUUUGGUUUCCCCAAUUUGAGUAAUCUUUUUUUUCUUUCUCUUCAAUCACUUAAUAACAUCUCAAACUGUGUUCCCAAGUCCCAACCGCUUCAAAAUUAGGUCUCAUCAUCACGUUUCCUUGAAUCGAUCUCUGUGUUUUCAGGUAAUCUCUUCCGCCAUCGUUGAUUCUCCAAUCCUCCUCUUCUAAGAUUCUUGGAUUCGGAUUUGUUUGAUUGCCUGAUUUGUGACGAAGAAUUUGAUGCGAAUGACUAGAUUGAAUUAUCCUUGAAUUGAGGAUCAGUUGAUUACUGAUGAGUCGUCUGUUUCAAAAUUGGGUUUUUGUAGAUCAGGGCUAAGCUAGAGAGUUAAGAGUUUAGUGGAUUGAGGAUGCAGAAUCAGAAUGAUAUGGUUAAGGAUGAAGCUGAAGUAGCUACAUCGGCGUUUAAUGGUGAAGAAUGGGGGAACUGUUCAGAUGCUAUGGAGGAACCAUCUUUUCAAGAAGAAGAAUCUUCUAAAGUUCCUUAUGUUGGUGAUAAGGUUAGAGCUUAUCUUAUCACAACAGCUUAUAUAGAAUUCGUCAUUUGUUUCUUGGAAUUUACAUGAAAGAGUCUCUGUACUUUGUCGAAAGAAUUAAAUGUUUUGCAUUGUAUAACUCUCCCUAUGAGUUGCUUUUGAUGUCUGUCUAUGUGACUUCAUUUCAUUGCUAAUUGUUAGAUUUCUGUCGAACGUCUUACCUAAAUGAGCAACCGUUUCAUGUGUUAAACUUUGUAAAGUUGAUUAUUUUGGUUCUUUGCUGUGUAGGAACCUCUCUCUAGUUUAGCUGCAGAGUACCAAUCAGGGAGUCCCAUUUUGCUGGAGAAGAUCAAGGUUUCCUUUCUUUCUGUAUCUUCUUUGUUUGUUUUUUUGCUUUUAGUCUUCUUUUUUUUUUUGAUAACUUUCAUGUUUGCAAUGGCUGUAGAUACUGGACAGUCAAUAUAUUGCAAUCCGGCGAACAAGAGGCGAUGGAAAUUGCUUCUUCCGAAGUUUUAUGUUCUCUUACCUUGUAUGUUCUCAGAAUGUCUUCAAAUCUUUGUCCAGCCUUGUUUGUGUAGUUACGGUUUUUGGAAUUGUCCUGUUUUGCUUAGACGUGGGAUGUAUCUCUAGCUAAACUUGUUUUUUCUUUCAACUUUAUUUGCAGGAACAUAUAUUGGAAUCACAAGAUCGUGCUGAAGUCGAUCGUAUCAAGGUCAAUGUUGAGAAAUGUAGAAAGACUCUGCAAAACUUAGGUUAUACAGACUUUACAUUUGAGGACUUUUUUGCGGUAAGUCGACCACCUUGAUUUUUUUUUAUUGUUUCUGCCUUUGAAAUUUGUUAAUAUCAUCACUAAUGCUCGAUUUUGUUUUUUCUUAAUGAUACAGCUGUUCCUUGAGCAACUAGAUGACAUUCUCCAAGGAAAUGAGGGGUCUAUAAGGUAGAAGCUGUUUAUCUAAACGACAUUUGGUGUGAUGAGUUCUGACUUCCAUGAAAUGGCACAAGUCUCUUCUCAUAGUAUCUCAUCCUUUUUGCAAAUAUCUCUCUUUCAGCUAUGAUGAGCUCGUUAACAGAAGUAGAGAUCAGUCAGUCUCAGACUACAGUAAGUUGCUCUAAUUUUCUUUGGCGUUGCUCUGAUUUUCUUUGGUGAUGCAUAUCCAACUGUACGUAGUGUUGACAAAUCUUGUUGUCUCAGUUGUAAUGUUCUUCAGGUUUGUUACUGCUGGUGAUAUACGAACGCGUGCAGAUUUUUUCGAGCCCUUUAUAACAGGCCUAUCAAACACAUCAGUCGAUCAGGUUUGUACACGUUUACUAUGUUUUAGAAGUCAAGCCACUUGGUGAUAUCUAAAAUUUUCUUCAUGCAUAUCUGUAACAUUUUAAAGUCUUUCAGCAACAGUUACUUACUCUUGUGACCUCUGAAAAUCUUUGUUAGUGGUACGUUUCUAGUUUUACAUUGUAGUAUUAUGAAAAAGAAAAUAACAAAGAUGGUUUAGGUUAGAUUAUAGAUGCAUUUCCAAUAUACCAAAUUUCAUCUAAGCUGGAUGCUACCAAACUUGCUGGCUUUAUAUGGGAUUAUUCAGCGUUGUGAUAUGUUAAGUCACUUGCAGUUUAACGAAAUAUUCUAUAGAAAGUUCUGAAUACCUCCUACGAGAUUAUGAGAGCAUAGGUGAAUGCAAAGUACUAACACUAGUCUGUUAUAGUUUUGCAAGUCUUCUGUUGAACCAAUGGGGGAAGAGAGCGACCAUAUUCACAUAACCGCUUUGUCAGACGCGCUUGGUGUUGCAAUCCGGGUCGUGUAUCUUGACCGUAGCUCAUGUGAUAAUGGAGGCGUCACUGUGAACCAUCAUGACUUUGUCCCUGUGGGCACUGAUGAGAAAGAAGAAGCUUCUGCACCUUUUAUAACCUUGCUGUAUCGUCCAGGGCAUUAUGAUAUCCUCUAUCCCAAGUCAUCUUGUAAGGUAUAAUAAACACGAAAUCAACAUAUGACCUCUCUUCCUUUAGAUCUUUCCUGGUUUAAGUUUAUGAUUGUGCUGUUACAGGUAUCGGACAAUGUGGGAAAAUGAUCAAUCAUAAAACCCAUUGGAAGAUGUUUACAGAAAAACUGUGGUAAUAUGGAUUCAUGUGGAAGAAACCAUGGAACAAUCAAACUAUUACAUCAUCUAUUUGCUUCUUGAUUAUGAUAAAAGAACCCUUUUUGCAACAUUAAUAUAGAAUAUAAUGGAACGUCUCUUUAGUUUGAUCAUGCCUUGUGUUUUUCAUAUACAUUCCUUUGUAGUAUUAUACUAUUAUUGAUGAGCAAGUGGAAGGAAACCAAAUUAGGUUUGCCAUUUCACAUCAAUGACAGAGAGGUCCAAGUUUGUAUGUCUUUAAAUUGAAUUGGUCAAGUCUUUCAAAAUAAAAUAUGACAAAGAAAGCAAACCCUUUAAAGUGUUAAUAUGGCAAGAACAUGCGGAUUGGGUUAAAUAAAAAUGCAGUUAUUGUUAGUGGUAACAAAGAUGUGUAGGUGAGGUUAGUUUACAGUUGCAAAUACAAUAUACCAAAUUUCAUCUAAACUUGGAUGCUACAAAACUUGCUUGCUUUAUAUGGGAAUAUAUAGUGUUGUUAAGUCACUUGCACUUAUGCGUAAACUAAAGAUUCUAUAGAAAGCUCUGAAUACCUCCUACUAAAUUGUUAGAGCAUAGGUAAGUGCAAAGUAGUAACACUAGUUUUGUUAAAUAUAUAUAUAUAUAUAGAACCCAAAAAAAUGUAACACAAGAAUCCAAAAGAUAAGUGUGAGUGUAUAUACCGUAUUUCCUUUCUCACAACCAUCUAAAGACUAUACUGUAGAGUAUCAGAAUGUAUAGUGUAUGUAGACGUCCUUUAUUGUUUGUCACUUUCUUCUUUGGAACCUUGUCCUCUAAUUGAAAUCAAAAUCAAACUUGGCACCAUUACUCCUCUAAUUAAACAAUGCAAACUGAACAUAAUUUCAUAACAAGAAUAGCUGAAAAAGGGGUUUGUUGUUAUUUAGGAAGAAUGAAUAUCUCUUCAGGAAUAAAUAUACAUAAUGAAACAUUUAGCAGAAACUAAAGAAAAAUAGAGAUUCUCUCAAACAUGAAUUUUGUAUAGUCUAUUUCUCACUUUCUUAUAUUAUAUAUAUAAAGAUUGCCAAUUAAGUACUUAUACACAUUUCAUUUCUCACAAAGACAAAUUGCGAGCUCAAGUUUGGGACUUUACAAACCUAAAAUGAAAGGGACAACAACUUUAUAGCAAAAAAAGAGAAGAAAAAGUGUGAAGACAAAAGGUAAGAAAUCAAUUUAGAUGAGGAGAGGAGGACAAGAGGGUGUGAAUUGGUGUAUAGGCACGUUCUUCUCUCUUCGAUUUAACAGCAAUUCCCCCACUAGCUAUUACAAAUAAAAUAAAAAACUCAUGCACACUUGUUACCGU
rnacentral:lncRNA from 1 species